rnacentral:lncRNA from 1 species
UGUCUGCCUGUCUGCCAGCCCGUCGCUCACAUUGCACUGAAGACCGCCUCCUGCAGUGUCUUGUUUUGUUCCAGCAAGUCCUCCUCUUCCUCCCCGUCUCCAUCCUGGUUUGUGCCAAGUCCAUGCCUGCAGGAGGCAUGCACGUGGAAGAGGCGGUCAUGGGAGCCUUUGGCGACAGUGACGUAGGACAGAGCGGGCAGGGCCCUGUCAGCUUGCUGUGCGGCUUGCGAGGAACCGGCGGGCACAGAUUAAUUAUGCAGGGCACGCAUCUCAGCUAAUCAAUAUAUGGAAAGGGCUCGACAUGAAACAUGAUAACAGUAGCAAUCGUGGCUAUGCCGUCCUGCAGGGGUUCCAACGAUCCUUCCCAUCCAGGCCGGGAGACUUGCGGCUCCCUGUAGCACAAGACUCGUAAGGACGUAAAUGGUUUGAAAAUCUCAUUAGAUAAUACGUUUAGUCAUCCAUUUAAGUGGAUAAUGAAGCUUUAACGGAGUGAUGGGGAUUCAGUUGGGAAUAAAGGGACGAAGUUAGGAUGAGGCAGUGCCAAGGGAAAGGGUUGGGGAUGCGUUGCGAGCGCUUUGGGAGGAUGGAGCGGCGGUGUGCGCUUCAUGUCGUAAGGAAAAGACUUAAGUGGCGUCAGAAACAAGAGCUUAAGGUGUCUUCAGCCGAUGCUAAGGCCUGCUAAGGUUCCCGGGACGGCGCUGCGAAGCGCAGCGCUGAGUUAUCGUCGUCGGGAAGGAGUGAGGCAACAGCGCCGUUGGACUCCGGCCUUGAGCAAACAAACUGCUAUCUAGGUUAUUACAGAUUUCAACGCUUAAUGUCACACUUGAGGGUGUAUUAGCGUGUCAAAGCGUUGACCGGGUCAGCAUUUUGAGAUAAGUGUAUACGCAUGGAAGGCCCGGUACUUCCGACCCGGAGCCUUUAGUGCUCUGGGGCUGCUUCCAAAGCACAACAUGUUUAAAGAUAAUCAUUGCAGAUUUUGAGGUCAUAGAGCGCCAGUGGUUGGGUGUGUAACGGCGGUUGGCGUCAAUUCUACAUGUCUGGCACUUACCGCUUCCGCAGGCGCUCAGUCGCAUCACCAGCUGAAGAUGUUUCAGAAUUUGCUGAGCGCAAAGAGGCCGCCCUUGAAAGCGUCAUUUUGCCACCCGGCCCGCCGGCAAGCCACCAACCAUAAGGGCUGAGAUUCCUCCUGCUUCUAAGCGGCGCUGCCUAUGAGCUUAGUAAACCAUAUUGUUCAUAUAAUAUGUCAAAAGUAUCUUACAUUUAGCGCUUCCUAAAGCUGAAAUGGAAAUAUACGGCCUGUCGCCUGCCAGCUCUUGCUCAGGUUACUCCACUUUGGUACUCUGGCGCGCUGUUGUACAUUUGCAGCUAGUUGUCGCCGUAAACGAUAUCAAAAUUGCGUUAUUAACCCCGCAGAAACGUGGCCCAAGGUCAACAUGAGUUCCAUAUUGUCGUACCUUUACAGGCAUCUCGGACUUCAGUAGAUACAGUUUACAAGGUCAUAAUUUAGCUUGGAAUGAAUUAUCUUAUUAUCAAUUCAUUACCAGAAUAAACCGUCAUGUCUCCAGCGAGACAAAGUGUGUACGUCGGAAGACACGCCUCGUCACGCGACGCAGGAUAUUUACUGAGCUCAUCGCCUGUCUGGCCCUACAGUAUCCAAACCCAUACAACGAUAAUCCUGGCGGCUGGGGAGCGAUGCUCCAUUGAGGCUGGGAUGUAUCUUAAAGCAACGCCCGAGGGCUCCUGCCACCUCAAUUGCAUUACCCGCCGUGAGAAAGCUUUAGCGCGCAAAUCCGCGGAUGUGUUUGUGUGUAUAUCUGCAUUAUGGAUCUCAGCUGAAGCCGCCAGCCCUGCUUAGCCUAGCUCUUUCAGCGCAUCUCAGCUCAGCUCGCAUCAUUGGUGCACCGUUGUGCAUGUGAUGCUAUUCCUUGCCUAUCGUACGGCUUUUACAUUCACCUGCCCCUCCUGGCGCGGUUCUUGAUCAUACCCGUAUACACCUCUGUUUCCCUCAUUCUGCCCCUUUGCGCCGCUCCUGCGUGCCCGGGUGUAACGCGUCGCCUCCAGUAGAAGAGGGAUAUUGCCGUCUCCCCGGCGCACUCGAGCUCGGGUUAUUUUAAUAACCCCGUUUGUGGGUUCGGACUAAAGGGCUGCCGUGUGUAGUUAUGCUGUAGGCCACCGUGGCCACCUGAUGGGGCGCGUGGGAUCCUGGCCUGGCCUUUGAUGUGAGUUUACAGGGCUGGGAAUGCUUCCAACGCGGAUGGGGAGACAUAUUGGGUUCGGCAACCAACCGCCACACAAUACUGUACGACUACAGCUGUUAAGAGAAGAUUCCUGGAUUGUUUCUUUGCAAGGCAUCAAAGCGCAUUGCUGUCAACAAGAAAGCGGGAAUAUUUUGUGGUAAUACGAUGCAUUGCAAGCUGCAUAAAGCAGUUAGUCAUGGCAAUUUGGGUGGAGACUUUCUGCGGAUGCACCAUGUUCCAAGGGCUUUGGGGCCUCAUAUUUCACAUAAGUAUUACAGUGCCACAUCGAUGACAGGCGCUGUCCCAGGACCGGGCGACAGGCUUCGCGCAUCAUCGGUCGCCAUUUCCGGUCCAGCCUCCUUAUCGCUCUGGAAUGGCAUCGACGAGUUCACGUGCUUCAAAGAUCGCAUUGAUGCACCACCGCUUCCCAUGCCGUCCAUCACCGAGCCAGUUCGCGUCGUCAUCGUCCGGCAUGGUCAAAGCACCUGGAAUGCUGAAGGCCGCAUCCAGGGCAGCACAGAUUUAUCAGUGCUUACAGAAAAGGGAAUCAAGCAAGCUGAGAAAACACGCGACAUGGUGAGGCUUUGGUGGAUUUGCUGACUUUACCAGCUCGCGAUUGCAUCGAUGGUCCGUUUGGAUGUUUCCUCCAGCCCUACCCUACGCCCAACUCACGUCCAAAGGGUCCUAAGCCUCUAACGACCCAUACUUUACCCUCCCCUCGCAAUUACAACCGCGCCGUACUUCCCUCCCCCCAUACAGCUGUCCUCCAUGCGCUUCUCCGCAGUGUUUCAGAGCCCCUUGGCCAGAGCUCGGCAAACAGCAGAUGUGGUGCUGCAGGUGGGGCCUGUGCGCACGUUUGGGACGCGGUGAAUCGGUGCCACUUCCAGUCCACAAAAAACCACCCAGCCCGAACCCGCUCACCCGGCGGGAAUCCAUGAACCCCGUUGUUUUGCGUCUCAGGGGCAAUCCACGAGGAUGGGUGAGGAGGACGUCGACGCGGAGGAGGACGUCAUCAGCGGCUCCGAUACCGUACGGCGGAUUACGCUGCCGUCACUGCGGGAGAUCGACCUCUAUCACUUCCAGGUCCGCCUUCAGCGCCAACCCCAACCCCAACCCCCAAAUGGAUGGAUGCGUCCUGACGGCGUGCAGGGAGGAUCAACCCCUCAACCCUCCAGAAGUGAAGGGUGUCUCUCUCACAAGCCGGGGGGGAACAGCUCUCGGAUAAAAACCAACCCUGAAGAGACACCCAAGCAAACACUGAAAAAAGGGAAUGUGAGGGAUAGAGCAACGUUCUGAGCAGGACGGAUUUGUUGCUGUUGCUGCUGAUGUUGUAAUCAUGGUUGAUCUUAUUUCUAUUAUCUAGUCAAUGUAAGUCAGAUUAUCUAAGGGUAAUUUGGCUGUUGACUGCGGUACAGCAGCAGUAGCAAUCGCCGCGACAGCAGCAUCACUGUGAGCUCCAGUACUCGGAAAGUAAUUAUGCAGUCUCGACCUCGCCACAUAUCGUGCGACGGAUGUGCGGAUGUGCGUCACCUCCGCCACCACCACCAUCACUACACCCACCAUCAUCACCACCAGCAGUUCCCCUCUAUGCCACUCUGACUUCAACCACGAUGCGUGUGCUAUUUUCUGAAUCGUAACUACCCACCUCCCCUCACAUCACCUUCCCUCACCCACCGGAAGUGAUCCCCCUCACCCCAUCUCACCCCACCUCGCCUUCCAUCGCGGGGGCCAUCAGGGCCUGCUAAAACACGAGGGCAAGGCGCUGUACGGCGAUCAGUACAGCAAAUGGCAAAAAGAGCCGCAUACUUUUGAACUGAACUCUCACGCGCCAGUGAGGUGCGUCCGUCGCUUAAAGUAUGUUGUCAAGCUCGUUAAUUUGGUUGAUUGCUUCGUUGUUUGUUUGAUUGGUUGGUGUUGGACACGGGCGUGUUUGCGGAGGAAAGGUGUGGAGAGAGAGAUUAUGUGGGUUUGGGCGAUGCCGCUUGGGCGAAAUGAUAGCAAUAAUGACAAUACCAUCAGAUAAUAUAACAACCAGAUACUAUAAUAUAAUACAUGGAGACGAUGAUGAUUAUAACAAUGGUAAAAUGAUAAUACAAUACAAUGAUAAUGAUAAUGAUGUAACGACAACAACAAAUAACUAAUAGCAAUAUGCGUUUGUGUACACAUUUUGUGUACACGUGUAUGUACGUACGUGUCUUUAAAGUCUUUGAAGUUCGCCCCCGCAAACCCGAAAGACAGCCCUUGCUUCUGAAGCUCAUGACGAGGAGGCAUCACCGCAUGUAUUUUCCACUGCGCGGGCCACCGUCCUUCGUCCGCACCCACACCUCCCCCAGCUCCCAGGGCUCGGCACCCUCCCAUUCAAGGCCCUUCCCUCUCUCAUUGCCUGAGGGGCCCUAGGGGCCCUAGGGUUCUGUCCCGCGUCCCAACUCCUGAUGAACUGGUGACGACUAUGGCAAUGAUAGCUUGUCGACGUUUCAGGGUUUUAAAAGAAUUUGAAAUGGUUUUAGGGUUUUGAAAUGGAAGUAUGGAAGAGCGGCGCUCAAUGUGAUCACGAAAACUUGUCCUGCGGGGUUUAAUCGUAUGGCUGCAGGGAGCUUUGGCAUCGCGCGUCCCUAGCCUGGCGAAACCUGCUACAGCGGCCCCAACAGGGCGCCGGGGGGUCGACAGUAGCAGCAACAGCAGCAGCAGCAGGUCGACCGGCGGCGGAGGCUGUUGCGCGAACCGACCCGCGGGUAGUCCUCGUGGUGGCUCAUAACGCAAUCAAUCAAGCUCUCGUCGCGACCGCACUGGGCCUGCCGCCGUCAUAUUUCCGGUACGACGCGUCCGGCGUACACGUCCGGCGUAUCCCAGUCAUACAAGCAGGGGGCUACAGAGCAAAGCUCUCUUGGGGGUCUCUGGAUUCACCUGCCUUCCUCAAGGGACGGCGAAACAUGUGUUUCUUUAGAGGUCGGUUUGCAGCGCCUAUUAACGGUAUGUUUUGGAUGAGGAUAGGGGGUGCGGGAGAGGGGGAGGGGAGGGGAGGGAAAAGGAGGGGAGGGGGAAGACGCACACGCAAAGCCCACCGGUGUCCCCCCUUUCCCUCCCGCCCCACUUCUCCCCCUCACCUCCCUUGACCAUUUUCGGCGCGCAGACGGCUUCCCCAAAACAACGCCGCAUUGAGCGUCAUUGAUCUGGAGCCCUCAACAGCUACCGUGACAAACACAAACGCUAGCAGCGGCGUUCGGAUUACGUUGUCCUGCCUCAACCAGGUGUGUAUAUAUGAACACGGGAGAGUUGUGUAUUGCAAAAUUGGAGCAGCGGUCGCAAGGUCGGGGCGCGUGCAUGUAUGUAUGUAUGUCUGUACGCAUAUGUGUGUGUGUGCGAGUUGGCUCCUGGAGGGGUAACUGCUGGAGGGCGGAAAGAUGUUUUUCACGUUAGGCGGGGCAGGAGGUCGGUUGCCGACGGCGAUCCGGAUUGGAGCAGUGAGGGUUGAAGGGUUUUGGCCCUCCUAGUGGAUAACAAAAGAAGAGGGAAACAAAACAAGCAAGAAUGAGUAUCUCGGGGCAAAGCGCAUUUUGGACCCUGAUGGCCGCAGCUGAGCCCCGAGAGACGUCUGGUGGUGUCGCCUCAUAGAUCCAUCAUCAUAAAAAAAAGUCCUGAGCGCUGAGAGCGUCCACGCCCCUCCAGCGCAUUUCGUAGUACAUGCUUUUCAGCGAACAACGCAUAUCUGUCCUCUUCUUCCGCUUCCUCUUUCCUUCCAACCACACUCCUUCUCUUUGUAUUCCGUAUUUUUCCGCACCCUUACUUCCCCUCUCCCUUCUUUCCUAUCUUACAUACAUACAUACGCACUCACACACGUACACCCCUAGUCCCCGGACAACCCGUUCAAGAACCCCGACAAGGUGCUGGCGAAUGUGGUGCUGGUGACACCGCCGUCGUCUUCACAUCCACAGCGGCGCAAAGCACAGCAACCUCCGAUAGUGGCGAAAAGGGAGAUGCUGUUGGAAGUGCAGGAGGAGGUGGAGGAAGAGCUGCGUUCCUUGGCGGCAGUGCUGAGCAAGCUGCAGGUAGGGAUCUGGUGUGUGGGGGGGGGAAGAGCAUGGGAGGGUCCAGAACAGGGAGCAGGACGGAGGAACUCUGCAAGGGCGGCAACACCAUGAUGUACUUGUAAGGUCCCACCCUCACACAGCUCGAGACAGCGGAGGCCCCAAAGGCCGUGGUGACAAAUGCGCUGUGUAUGUAUGUAUGAUGUUGUUACAGGGUGGUAUAGCUUCACCAGCGGCCCCCUUUCCCUUGGAGGCAGUUCCCUGCUCGCCCCUGCGAGAGGGGCACCCUAAUCCAUUCACCCCAUCCGACUUCAGAACGUAUUCGUUGGGUUCAGCAACUCACCACCAGCAUCCAACCUAAUCUAGCGGAUAAACGGCGCCACAACUUAUUUCCUGGUCAGCUCGCAAGUUGAUAUAAUCACGUCCCACACCGUCCACAAGAUGGGGGGCCACCUCCCAAUUCAACACCCCUCACACACCGAGGGGUCGGCAGGCGGAUCUGAGCCCGGAACCUCCGGGAGCACAAGUCAGGCCUUAACUUCUGCCAGGCCUUAACUUCUGCCAGCCACCUGCCUAAUGUAUUUAUGUAUGUAUCUCUGACCCCGACACGUUAAAGUUCAAGACCUCCGAGACUCGUAAUUGUGGGAUUCGACUAUGCAGUGGUCUGUCAUCUCAUAACCAACUCAACGGUCCAACAGUCCGUUUUACAACGGACUCAACCACAACUAACCUCCGGUUCAUCUCGUCCUGGUCCCCGCCGGGCAUCGUAAGGCAUCUGCAUCCCUCCCACUUCAUUUGCCAAGCACAUCCAGCUGAGGCGACCAACCGACCAACAUAUUUCAAACGAUACCCGACCAACGAAAUACAACUAACCCAACCAACUCAGGUAACCCACGUGCUGGCGGGUCCUGGCGUCAGCGCGGCCACUGCGACGGCAUUGCUGGCGGGACAGCAGCCGCCACCUUCAGUGAAGCCACCGCCGGAGCAUGCAGGCCGUGCCGGCGAUGGCGGCAGUGCCGCUGCGGUGGAGUUCCUGCCGUCCAGUGCGCCAGCGGAGGCCAUCUGGCAGCGUGCAGUAUCAUCGCUGGUGACGGCGGCACCGCCGCCGCCGCCAGGCGACGCUCGCUCUUCGUCGUACGGCAAUGUGCUUGUCGUACUCGACGCUGAGAGUCACGUGGGCGUAGUUUGGGCGGCGCUUGGUAUCCCGAGGGCCCAGCGGGGGGCGGGGGAGGGGGAGGGGGAGGGGGCGGGCAACGGCGGUACUGGUGGCUGUGCGCGGCUGAUGAGCGUUAGUCCGGGGGGUUUGACUGUCGUUGAGUUUUCGUCGGAUCCCCGGGUAACUCCCGCGGUGGUGCGGUGCAUUAAUAACACGGCACACCUGUCAUCGAGGCGGCGGCGGUAGCGGCCGUAGCAGUGAUGGCUGCAGGGGCGCGUGUUACGUCUGGAAAGCACAACUCUUGCACUCCAACUGUAUAAUAAUUUUUUAACAUACAUCAUCGUAAUGGAGAUCUGGGUCAACUCGAUUAACUUAGGAAGAGAUGAAGGAAAAUCGCGGUCCACGGUGUUUUAUGCGGGGCACAUGAACUCAUGCAUGUGGGCGGAGGGCCUAUCAUUGUCUCUAUUGUGCGUUGGGCUCCUUAUGUGAUGUACAUCCUUAGUUAGCUAUUGUACUGCAUUUGUACUGCAUUCCGUGUUAUACCCCGGUUCGUGAUUGUGGGAUCAGGACCAGGACCAGGACCAGGAGAGCGAAUUCCCUACUCGCAUGUGCGCUGCCGUAGUUGGGGAGAGGAAGAGGUAGACGUACGGAAUGCGCCCGCAGCAGCAGGAGGGGGAGGAGGGGAAAGGCAGAAGGUGAAUGCAUACACAUCUACAAUACGGACAUACAUACAUGCGGACACCUCAGCAAAGCAGCCCGGGUAACCACCCAGCCUCCGAAGCGGUUCAAGCUCCGAAACGACGGCAGGGUUGGAGCAUGCUGCAUCGUCAUCUGUGCACACGGCGCAGUGCUGCAGUUUACUGCAGCACCUUUUGUCGUUUGCAGCUCCUCUACAUCGUCAUCAUCAUCAUCAUCAUCAUCAUCACCCGCCAUGUGAUCAGCUGCCAACCUUAUGAUUACGUUGCGGUAGUGGAUAUGUCCCCCGCUUCUGUGCUGCUGUGACAGUGGUAGCGGUAGCGGGCUAGCUAGGUAGGUUGGCUUUCAAGGGCGCUUUGCAGGGCGCUUUUGGAAAGCUUAGUCCUUUGCUGGUUGUGAGAAGCUAUUGAGGAUUAUUAUUUAAGGGAAAGUCGCUGAGUUGGGGUGAGCAAGGCGGAGGGAGGUAGGAAGGAGGGGAAAAGUGGCUGGAUUUCAGCUGUGUCCGCUUACCCUUAGUUAUUGGUGCAACCUGUGGUAAGUACCUGAGGUUUUGCAGCCUGUUGGAUUUGUGUCCAAAGCGCCAUGUAAUGUAAGCUAGGUUUUUAAACGAAGUUGGAUCAGUAAGCUCGGGUAUGCUGUAUCUUGAGCCUAAUGUUCAACACGGUUCCCCGUUCCAUACGCCUGUCCGUCCUGUCCCAGCCAUCAUCACCUGCCAUCCGAGCAGUGCACGCCCGGGAGUUCUAUUGUUGUGGUCCUUCCCGUCCUCCGUGUUGCUCACCCGUCCGCAUAUGGUCUGCGAUUCGGUUCUGAUUACCCUUCCUUAGGGUCCCCAUUGAACCCGGGUCAGUGCUGUUCCUAGCUCGACUGUAUUUUUCCUCCGCCGCGGCAGCACAUUUUUUAAUGAGAACUCGAGAGACGAGUAUGUUAUUGCGUUAACCCAUCGAGACACGUUCCGAACCGAGCGACAAAAGGAAUGGGGCGACACUUAUACUAUAUUGCACCAUGAAAAGGUUAUCGAACCACUACUGUACGCAUAAAGGAUGACAGGUAAGGACAUAAGGAGAGGUAGCGGGCAGGUGUUGAAGCUUGGUGAAAAGUAGUCCCUGGGAAGGAAUGGGCCACGCCUUCCCAAAGUAUCUCCUGUUUGGAAGAGACUCAUACAGGAGAUACUGAAAAGUAAUACGCGGUGAACUAACUGAGUCUGCACAGAGAAAACCGGUGCUGCGGCGGAGAAGCGAAAAGGGCGGUUGUGCCGAGUCAGCACGGCACGACGGUUGUGUAGCUUCCGGUACCAAUGUUUUCAGCUGCCACAUCAGAAAAAACUGUCGUCCAUGUGCAUGUAACAGUGUAUACACUGAAGGGAGGACCCCGACGUGAGCUCAGUUUUUAAAAGUUGCCUAUUUCCCCACACAGCUUGCAGUUUCAAUUUCACGGUCAAUUGUAUCACGUCUCAGCAGCUGAGCACUUGCUUUGUCAAAUUCGGCCUCACGUCGGCGCGAUAGCGGCCACUCCGCAGGCCAUGGCGCAGGAAUGGCGCAGCAUUGCCCCCGACCAGCAGCAACAGCUAACUCUGGCUCCGUGCGCCGCAACGACUCCGGCUCGGACCCGAUCGACUGCUAAAAUGCUGCCGCGCUUUGACCCGGGCGUCAUGGAGACGUACCUGGACGACAUGCGCGAAAUGAAGGCAAGGGUCCACGAACUCUUUCGACAACAUCCGGACCUCCUUCCCAACGUGGAGGAGGGCCUUUCCAAGGGUGAGUUGUUGCCAAAGUUGCUGCGCGACAAGAGGCAAUCAACUGGCCCAGCACCAGCUGCGGUCCGUUGACGGCCUUUGGUUAGUUUGUUUGGGACACGUCAGCGCCCACCCGUCAACGACCCAUGACGCGCUUCAAUGUUCUUCCGAGGCGGACACGUGCUUCUUGCCUGUAGCCAACGCUGAAAUGCAUUUUCACUUAACCAGAUGUGUUGAGCUUAAUGACGAACUUUUCGUGGUCGAGGCCAAUCGCCCCUGGGGCAGAGGGAGUUUUUCCGUUGUAGGGGAAAGGGGAAUUCGCCAGGACCAAGUCUUUCCUGAGAAGUGGCGAUCAUUUUCUCUGGUUUAGGUGGAUCGGCACCAUAUAUGGAUACUCACAAAUAGGUGAAGCAAUGGAGCAUCCAAUCUUACACCUCCAUUGAAAGAUACAUAACUACGCUUUUCCCUGGGCCUUGCCUUGCCCGCAAGGCCGACCAGCAUCUCUCUCCGAUUGGUCCUCCUUCCAGGACGUGAUCGUGUCCUGGUGCAUAUUUGUUAUUAUUAUUAUUAUUAUUUCAUACUAAUAAGCCUCGUUAAUAAGUCCUCUAUCCACCAUUCCGCACCCUUGCUGCCUGUUGCCCGCCGCCGUGUUUGCGGCAUUUGCCUGUCGUUCUUGUCGUAUUUGCAGAGGAGCACCGUGCUUUGGUUCGUCGCUCGCUUAAGGUCAUUUUGCAGGUGCGUUUGGGAAGAUGAUGGGCAGAAGGGGGGAAAAAUGGGGUCAACAAAGGUCGACACCCUCGGUAGUACUUUUGCCCGCUCUCCAUCACUCCCUCAUGCCCGCCGCCUAUCGCUCUGACCCCGUGCCCGCCGCCGCUCGUGUUCCUUCAUCAUACCUCUUGUCCUUCUCAGGCCGGCUACAGUCCCCUGGACCUGCUUGCACGCGACCCCCGCAAGUACUUUUACCUGGGCGAGUGCCUCUCCAUGGUGGACCUGUCCCUGAUGGUGGGUACAACCCGCAAACAUGCAAAUCGGAAAAACCACCCUCGAAGCAACUGUGUGUUAAAAUAAAAAUUGAUAUAUAUAUGUAUAUAUAUUUGGAAUGUUUUAUUAUAUGUAUCAUAUGAGAAUGUAGUUGUGAAUUUUUUGUGCCAUAUCCGCCAUGAACAGGUCAAGAGCGGUGUGCAGUACAGCCUUUGGGGCGGCUCAGUUCUUAACUUGGGUAGCGAGGCGCACCGGCGCCGGUACUUCGACGACAUUGCGCAGUUUCGUUUGCCGGGUUGCUUCGCGAUGACGGAACUGAAACACGGUGAGGCGGGCUGCUGGGUACGACGUCACAUGUGAUGAGUGAUGGUGGGUACCUUUAGAGACCCGACCCUUAGUAAAAUGUAAGAAACACACAGUCAUGUAGUAGAAAAGUAUAAAAACACUAAAACACACGUGAAGGUGUACAUGUGUGCAUAUAAUAAAAUGUACAUCCAGGAAACACAGAGAACCGCGUACACACCCACAAACACACACAAACACACACACUCACACACACGCACACACGCACACAUACUCACACACGCACACAUAAUCACAAACACACACACACACACACUCACAAACACUCACAAACACACACACACACACACUGAAUAAAAAUGCCUAUGCGCAUGCAAGUCCAUGUCUCUCCUGCUCUUCGUACACAUACAAAUAGGCACAGACACACGCACAUACAGAGACACAGACAGGCAGACAGACAGACGCGUGCGGGGCAUGUGACCGCGCUCCCGGCCGGCAGGCAGCAAUGUCGCGGCUCUCCAAACGGAGGCCGUGUUGGACGUGUUGACGGACGAGUGGGUCGUCCACACCCCGGACGAGGGAGCCAUCAAGUGGUGGAUCGGGAACGCGGCGGAGGAUGGCCGGGCGGCCACGGUGUUUGCCAGGUAUGUAUGCAUGUACGCUGUAUGUAUGUAUAUAUGUAUGCUGUAUGUAUGUAUGCAUAUACAAGACAUAAGUAGGAGGGGAGGGGAGGGGGAGGGGAAGGAGGAAGGUUAUGUCAGGCUUGGUAUUAAUUAGGCUUUUCCCUAAGCCCCCUUAACCCCCGUCCAUAAUGAAAUGAACCCCCAAUAAUCAUAGCCCGUAAUAAUUCCGUAAUAAUAAUACUAACCGUAAUAACCGUAAUAACUGCCUACCCCUCCCAGGCUCAAGGUGCCCGACCCGAACGGGGGCUCCAAGCUUGUGGAUCACGGCGUGCAUGCCUUUGUCGUACCGUUACGAGAUGAGAGCGGCAACUUGCUGCCUGGCGUCGAGAUCCGCGAUUGCGGCUACAAGGUGUGGGUGUGUUGUGUCGGGUGGUGAAUGUCAUGUCUGGUCGCCACUACUACUUCCUUUAAAGCUUGAUGUUGGUGCUGCAGCAGCGACUGCUGGUGGUGGUGGUGGUGGUGGUGGUUAUGGUGCGGAUUGCGUUUUCGUGGUAGUGGUAGUGCUGGUGGUGCUGCUGUUGGCAGUAUUUUUAGGAUCUUUUCAAUUGUGGGGGGUUCUCUCUCCCCAUCUCUCUCUCCCCCUCGUCUUCUACUGCACAUUGUCUUCACCUUGCAGUGCGCCCUGGUCCUGUGUGUUUGUAUGUGUGUAUGUGUGUACGUGUGUGCACGCGCAUCCUGGGGUUAAGGUGGGAGUGUUUCGUUGCGGCCGCGUCAGUCAGUCCGUGCUCGUCCACUGCCUACAUGUACGGAGGUCGCUUCCACCCACCCACCCAUCCCCACCCCCGAGGUCGGCGCCUUCAAGAACGCCUACUGGUCAGUUCUACUUCUUGUACACUCUUGCCCUGGCAGCAGCUUCACUCGUUCGUGGUUCGUCUUUCCCCUCUUUAGGUGGGCCUCAACGGUAUCGACAACGGCGCCAUUCGCUUUACCCACGUCCGGGUGCCGCGGGGUAACCUGCUGGACCGGUUUGCGUCUGUGGAUAAGAGCGGCAGGUACAGCAGCCCGCUGACCAGCCAGGCUAGGAGGUGAGAGGAAGGGGGAGGGGGGAGGGGAAGAGAAAUGGCAAUGAGGGGGAGUCAAUGACCCCCCGGCGGCGAUUGAUGACCCCCUGGUGUGGCCCUUUCCGUCCUUGAUUGCAGUUGAUUUAAGGUGUUUCCGUCAACAUGUAUGUAUGUAUGGAUGGAUGGAUGUCUGAGAUGUGACUGACAUGCAUACGAACUAACUUUUCCUCUCCCGUUUCAGGUUCGCAGCGACGUUGGGCGAACUGACUGGGGGCCGAGUGGGGCUGACGGCCGGCAGUGUGGGGGUCCUUAAGGUACAGGGAGGGGAGAGGAGGGAGAAGGGGGGGGAUGGCGGUGGUAGAUGAGGACUGAGUGAGGCGUCUGUUAUGGGUAGUGAUGUAAUUAUUAUCUCGUACAUUGGAAAGUGUAUCAUUGCAAUGUAUCAUUAACCUUUAUUGACCAUUCUCGUCAACCAAACAAUGUCACGCAAGCAAAACACAGCGGCUUACAUAUCUUCCCACUCACGUUCUCCCCUCAACUAACCAAACGACCAACCGACCGAUUCCCAAUAAUAACACAAAACCUAAUGCCCGCUCGAAACCCGCGAAACCCCUCAAACCCCCAAAACUCGUACACUCGUACAGGGCGCGGUGACCAUUGCGGUCCGUUACGCGGCUCUCCGUCAGCAAUUCGGCCCCCCGGACUCCCCGGAGGUUGCCGUACUCGACUACCAGUCCACCCAGGUUAGGUUGAUGCCGCUGGUGGCGACCGCGUACGGCCUCCACUUCGCCAAGUGCCUGUUGGUGGAGAAGUACGUGGACAUGAAGAGAACCCGAGAGCCCAAGUUGGUGGAGGAGGUGAGAGCGGGGCGGGGGAAGUGAGUGGGGUGGGUGGUGAGAGUCGGUGCAUGUGUGUGUGUAUUUUUGUGUAUGUGUGUAUGUGUGUGUGCAACUGGAGGAGGACAAUACGCAAGACGUAAAGGGCCAACUGUGAGUGCUUCCCUAGUUUCUGUAUGUCGUACAUUGUACCCUUUGAUUCGGAUUCGGAGCCCCCAAAUGCACCUUCACAUAUUUUAUCAAUAUUACGACUUUUUUCAUAGUGUUUGAUACCCCUUCCCUUACCCCUCCCUCCCUCCCCUACCCCUAACCCCCACGGCAACCCCACAACAACAACAACAACAAAAAAAAGGUUCACGCGUUGUCGGCCGGGCUCAAGGCGUACACGACGUCGUACACCCAGGCUGCGCUAUCGACGUGUCGGGAGGUGUGCGGCGGUCACGGCUACGCGGCCGUUAACCGGCUGGGGGCGCUGCGGUCCGAUCACGACAUCUUCCAGACGUUCGAGGGCGACAACACCGUCCUCUUGCAGCAGGUGCUGGUAGUGCAGCCUCCUAGCACAGGACUAGGGGAGGGGAGGGGCUUCCUUUCUCUGCCGCGUCAAAGCCGUUUUCACUUGUACGUGUUACGUUAACGGGGCUUCUUACCGCGUUUGCUAGGUAUGUUAUAAUCACGGCGCUUAAUUAAUAUCUAAACCCCUAUCUUACCCCCCCCCUCUCCCCCCUCUCCCCCUCUCCCCUCCCAUCCCGUGCGGAACUCAGGUCUCCGCCAUGUUGUUGAAGGAGUACCGUCAGCAGUUCUCCGGCGCCCCCCUCACCGCCACCUACCACUACCUGCGCGCGGCCCUGCUGGGGGCGCUGCCCAACAACCCGCUGGUCACACACGACACGGAGCCGCGGCACCUGAGGGACCCCGCCUUCCUCUCCAAGGCGCUGGAGUACAGGUAGUGGGGGUGGGGGUUUGCGGGUGCAGGUGGGGGAAGGGGGGGAUUCCACUGCAUUACAUAUAGUUUUGGUUGGGUUGGGUUGGGUUGGGUUGGGGGUGGACCUCUGAGCCGGGGGGGUGAGUUUGCGGCGGUUGUGUGUCUCCACUGCCUGUAUGCCUCUCCCCUUACCUCGGUUGAGAUGAUGGUGAUGGGUUACGCUGCACCUCGACUCCGCCGCCGCAGCUGCUGUUGCUGGCGGUGGCGGUGGCGCUAUUGGCUCCUACCGCCCACCACCUACCCCCGUACCCCCCCCCCACUGACCAGCCCCACCCACCCCCCUUGCCGUGCCGUUGUGUGGCUGUAGGACUGCGCGCAUGCUGUUCACGUUGAGCCUCCGCCUCCGGAAGCACGGCCCCCGUCUGGGCGCCUUCCACGCCUGGAACAAGUGCCUCAGCCACGUGCUUGACCUCGCCAACGCCUACGUAGAGAGCGUAGUGUACAAGUAAGUGUAAAGAGGGGUGAGGGGUGGACACGGCGGGUGGUGGGCGGGUGGUGGGCGUUGGGCCCACAACGCAAUGUUUGGUGUCGGGAAACUCGUCGCCGUACUGCGUGUACGGUACGGAGUGUUCUCACCCCUGCUACAGCUUCUUUUUCCCCUCUUGCCAACCUCCACGGGAUGAUCAACCGUGUCCUUCCUUUCCGCCGUGUAGCCCUUCCUUUGAGUGAUUUGUGGUCCGUGUGGUGUACGACCCCCACCCCAUUUCCCCCCACCACCCCCCACCACCCACCCCACCCCCCACCACGUUUGAUACUCUCUUGCCCUGGCAGCAGCUUCAAUCGUGUGUGGUUCGUCUUUCCCCCACCACCCACCCCACACCCACCUGUUCAGGGGCGCACCGGUAGUUGGUUCCCUGCAUCUUACAUAGCCUUACAUCAUCAAUACACCAUCUUACAUCAUCAUCAUCAUCAUAUUAUCGUCAUGCAUCANNNNNNNNNNNNNNNNNNNNNNNNNNNNNNNNNNNNNNNNNNNNNNNNNNNNNNNNNNNNNNNNNNNNNNNNNNNNNNNNNNNNNNNNNNNNNNNNNNNNNNNNNNNNNNNNNNNNNNNNNNNNNNNNNNNNNNNNNNNNNNNNNNNNNNNNNNNNNNNNNNNNNNNNNNNNNNNNNNNNNNNNNNNNNNNNNNNNNNNNNNNNNNNNNNNNNNNNNNNNNNNNNNNNNNNNNNNNNNNNNNNNNNNNNNNNNNNNNNNNNNNNNNNNNNNNNNNNNNNNNNNNNNNNNNNNNNNNNNNNNNNNNNNNNNNNNNNNNNNNNNNNNNNNNNNNNNNNNNNNNNNNNNNNNNNNNNNNNNNNNNNNNNNNNNNNNNNNNNNNNNNNNNNNNNNNNNNNNNNNNNNNNNNNNNNNNNNNNNNNNNNNNNNNNNNNNNNNNNNNNNNNNNNNNNNNNNNNNNNNNNNNNNNNNNNNNNGGGGGGGGGGGGGGGAACAGGGGGGGUAUAGUGGUGGUGGUGACGCAGCUCCCCACGUGGACGGCCGCAUGUGUAUAACUUGCGGUUGCUUUGUGUCUCUUGGUUUUAUAAUAAAGCUGUAACAUUAGCGGUCAAGUAUCAAUAAUGAUGAUGGUAACAGACACAGCAUAUAAGAGGUGGGUUGCUGUCGGAAGGUGGCUGGGAUGUCUGUGUGGGGGUUAAAGAAGUAGUAGCGGGUAAUUAGUAACCCCCAUAUAUUGCCAUUUACAACCCGCAAGAGGGUCAACCCCCCCCCGCCCACCCGCCCACCCCCACCCUCGUUCAUGUUGUGGCACUCAGGAACGAUGAGUACAUUGCGCCGUCCAAGGCGAAGGCCAUCAGUCGACUUGUGGUGCAGCUGUGCAGCGAGCUGCGCGGAGUGGCCAUUAACCUGGUGUGUGGGAUGGCGGUGGGGUGGCGGUGGGGGAGUAUGCCACGGGGGGAGUCGGCGUGUCGAUAUGGUGGAGGAGGGGGAGGGGUGGGAAGAGGGGCAUGCUAAGGCGUGUGUGUGUGUGUAGGAGAGGCGGCCGCUGUGUACGUCAUACAGCAGGGACAUGAAGGAAGUGACCGGCAGACUAGGAGUAUCUCGCACUAACUAACUAAGGAAGGGAGGGAGGAGAGGGCAGGUGGUCGUAUGCAUUGGUGCAAGGAGUGAGUGAGUUUACCGUCACUCAUGGACAUUCUUCACACGGAUUUGGAAGGGUUGAACCACAAAUGUGAGAUCAUGAAGGCUGAUUAAGGGGAGGGAGAAGCCCUUUAGAAGGCGCUGUGCGGUGUUGAUGUUGUUGUGUGCUGUUUCUUGAGUUGUGUUGCCGUUUGUGUAUAUAUACGUAUGUAUGUCCGUGUGACCUGCAGGUGGACUCGUUUGCGAUUCCGGACCACAUACUCCGCGCGCCCAUCGGUCUGGGGGGCAACGGCGGGCCCCAGCCGGAUGCGUACCGCGAGUACUUGGCGGCGGCCGGAUUUGAAAUCUGACCCCUCACCUCACCCGCCGCCGCCGCCGCCGCCGCCUCUUCCUCCUCCGGCACGUCCUGGAACUGAUGAUGAUGCACAUGUCAAGAUGUGUAAUAUGAUACCACUGGGGGGGGGGGUCAACGGGGGGAAGGGAGGAGAGGGCGGCCCGUGAUUAUCCCGCUGUGUGCGCCUGCUGGUGACAGACAUGCACGUGCUGGUGGGACCGGCAGGAGGGGCGGGAGUGUGUAUGGGUUUGGGUGUCGUGGAUGUAUGAGGGGUGGGGUGAUGACAGGGUGGCUGGUGGGUCUUUUUGCUGUGUCUGAAAGGAGUCGGAAAGGAGCUGUUGCGCGGCAGAGGAGGUGCAGGGGGGAGGAGAGGAGUGCUUUUGCAGCAGAAGCAGGCCCAGCACCUGCACAGACAGGCGGCAGCACCCGCACCUGCAGGGCGGUGUACGGGAGUGACUGCUUACCCACCUCUGUGUGGAGGAGGAGGAGGAAGCAGUGUACGACAAUGGGUGUUUGCGGUCCUGCUCCUUUAUCCCCGCCGGUCCUAUAAUGCCCUAUUGUACGACGGCGGCGCGGCACGUGCUGACCCCACUCUCGCUGUUAGGCAAACAGACAGACAGACAGACGGAUUUGCUGAUUUACUCCCGUCGUGAUAUUUACAGGGGGAAUCUCUAAAAAGGGGUGAAGACUCCGGGGGAGGUGAUUUCCUCUUGGUGCCCGGUCUAGACUAGUGGCAAUUCUUUGGUCUGUCUCGUACAUCUGUACAUGUUCGUAUCGCGCACACACGCACGGCGGCCGCCUCCUAUACCAAUCCACAUCCUUCCGACGACGUCGGUACGACCCUCCGCGGAGCACCACACGGGUUGCGAGCGAGCGAGCGUAGCAAACAGACAUUGCCCUUCUGCCUCUGGUCGUUGCCUCUGACCCCCGGCCGACACAAUGCGAGCCAUGGAACACACCUCCCUUGCCGCCUCUUCCCGCCCUUUCCGCUUUUAAUGGAGGUUCAAAUUCUCUUUCUAUCAUUUGUGCUCUUGUAGCUUGGUAUUGCGGUGUUUUUGGAGGCCAAGUUACGAUGUGUGCUUACAUCGCGUGAUGUGUGUGUGACACAUUGCUGACGUGUUGUGUCGGAUGGUAUUUUGUUGGUUCGCCACAAUUAGCGCGACAGGUGUGUGUGCGUGUGGGUUUGUGAAGUGGAUGUGCGCGGCGAGAUGAUGCGCUUCAGAUUUCAAGCACUCACACGGCGUCGCGUUUUGUAAUUUGUUUGUUGGUAAGGUGGUUUCAUGGGUUCAUGGGUGAUCGAAAUUGAUUCGAUGUAUUUUUGAGAACAUUCGUAGUACAGCAGCGUACACAGUCGCACUCUGGGAAUGAAAGGCGAAUAAUAAUGCCGUGUCCCGCUAAAGCUAUCGCCCUUUUGUUUCAUUUUUCUCCUCUGCGUUUUUUGUGGUGUUUGAUGCAUCAUAUGGGAAAGAAACAAAAGGGAGCAUAGCAUGUGAUGGCGCACGUAUGCACACUGGCCCAUCAUGAUGAACGGCGCGCUUGGCAUUGUGUAUGGUGUCGGCGUAUCGGUGAGAUAAUCCCAACUCCCGCCCCAUAUCUCUGCUGCCAUUGGCAUGUGGGGAGAUGCGCACCGCCUAUGCGGUUUCUUUUUUUCGGUGUGUGCGUAUGUGUGUCUGUGUGUUGUAACAGUGCUGAAUCACCACGGGCGAAGAGUUUCUCGAUCUUAACGUUAUUACAACCUAGAAGCCCACAGCAAGAGAUAUAUGUUGGAAAGCCUGAGGAGGAAAGGGGUGGGUGAUGACUGAUGGGGGGGUGGCCGGCUGGGUCGGUUACCUAGGUUUCAUCUCUACUCCCCGCCGAGAACAUAUCGAUCAAUGGUUCUUUCAACAGCAGUAUAAGGCUUGGGUGCGGCUAUCUAUCGGUAGACCCUUCCAUCGGAGUGUAUGACAGUUAAGAGGGAGUCAUUCAGGCACCUAGUGUAGUUGUUGCACCUUGGUGAGCUGCUCAAUCACUCAAAUCACUCAAAUUACUGCCUGAUAAGAAAGGAUAUCAGCAACGGCCAAAGUGUUUUGCGAUGGUGGCAUAUAUACAAAAGCUAAUAAGGUAAAUUUACAGGACACCAUAAGGCAAACCGAUGACUCGAAAUAUUUAUAACGCGUCGGCCUUCCCUUCCUAUCCGCCGAAGAUACCAUCCCUAAUACGAAAUACAUUAUAUAUAUAGAAGCCGAAAUCCUAUUUCCAAACUUUCCAAAAAUCGCUAUUUCUGUCUCUCUUAUCCUUUCCUUCCGACUUGGAAAUCUCCCCAGGGCCCCGAAACGGCGCAACAAACGGCGACAACAAGCGGUGCUGUUCCUCUGCGAUGCACCAUCGCCUCUUCAACAGACUCGCCGUCGUCUCCGCCUCUGGCUCCGUCCCAUCACGUCUCAAUCGUCAAUCGCGUUUAUCCUUUUUGGGAUCUCUCAGAUAACGAGGGGAGGGAAGGCUCCCUUUCCCUCCCCCUCUAGCGGCGCAUAUAUGGGUGGUCGGGUGCGUGUGUGUGCGUGCACGUUUAGACGCAUACAUGUACCCGGGUGCAAGCGUAGCGCGAGCACCGAUCUGUACCUAUCUAUCUAUCUAUGUAUCUAUCUUUCUUCUUUUCCUGAGCGCGCGCGCGUGUGUGUGUGUGUGUGUGUGUGUGAGCGCGGAAACAUUACUAGGAGCAAUACACACCCAAGCAUGGUGGGGCAACAUGCGACUUCUCCUCAUUCCGUUCACGGACGGUGUGGAGUGGCGUGGGAUGAUUCCCACACAUCACCAUCUCCAACAAAGAGAAAGGCGCAUCUCCAUAUCUGCGUUUCCGCGCAUUUAGAAGCAUGUACGCGUGCACGUACGUACGUAUGUCUAUAUGUGUGUAUUAUUCGAAGGAGAGAGUGUGUGUGCGUGUAUGUGAGUAUGUAUGUAUGUAUGUGCAGUUGGCGAGAGAUCGGGGGGCAUCCCGGAGCAGUUCCGCUCCCGCCAGCUUCCCACAUCGCCUGCGCGCCCCGACUUCCCCUCCCCCCCCUUGUUUUCUCCACAAACCUUAGGCACACACACAAAAAAACCACACAUACAUACACGCAUACACACAUCAGCCCUCUUUCCGUCGGGGGAUCUUCCACGUUCCAAGUCCAACCCUCCUCACCCCCUGAUACUGAGAUUUCCUUCCUCCGCUCGCUUCAGGGACUCCCUCGCUAAGCUCUCCUGACCAUCUUAAAUAGGCAAUACAUAUUAUACAUCCAAUUGAAAAGAAAAACUAAAAUUGUUUUCGGCCUUUCGCGUGCGGUUCCUCCCCUUUAGCGGCCUUUCGCGUUCUUGCGUCGCCACGGUGGCGAUGUAAACCAACGAGUGCCUCCCUAACCGAACAAACAAACAAACAAACAUUCACCGUGCAAGUGCAUCAGUAAAAAAAGCUACCACCUGUGUAUGUGCAUCCGCACACAGGCUGCUGUACGACACGAACAUUAGGUGUCACGAGAUUAAAAAAACAUCUCACACCGUGCACAUCGAUUACAGCGAUAAAGCAAAUUCGAUAGGUGGCUACAGAAAACAAGCCACCGCGGCAAUCAUCUCUCAGUUCUCGCUCCGGAACCAUCCAGCUCCGCUUUCUCUCCCCUCUGGGCCGGGGGCGUGUGUGUGAAAGCGGCGGCAGCGGAGCGGCUCUCAGUGCUGAGGGGCGCUCACCCCUUUAUCAUCAUUCUCAUCAUCCUCAUCGAUCUCCCCCUCAUCUUCUUUUUCAGAUGCUUCCCGCAAGAAGUACUUGUUGCUUCAAUGCUGUGUCACUGACGCGGCACACACACGCACACACAGGUCUUCUCACAGACGUUUUUUCACACAGAGAUCAGAUCAGAUCAGAUCAGAUCAGAUCAGAUCAGAUCAGUAGCCAUACGUGCUGAUGCAGUCCUCGUCCUCAUAGUCGACCAGCCCAUCGCAGCUGCGGCGGCGCAGUUCGGUGGGUGCCAAAGGUGACAGAUGAGGGAGGGGGAGGGGAGGGGGAGGGGGAGGGGGGAGGGGGGAGGGACGGUGAGCGGUGUGCUCUAGGUGUGCUGACCUAGCCCCUCGUCCCCUCCCGACACCUCCCGAGUUGGGCCCCGGCGGGGAAGGGAGUGGAAGGGGGGAUAUGGCGCCAGAAGAGGAGCCAGCGGAGAGCAGCGGAAAAGAAUAAACGUACAAAUGGUGUGAGGGGGACUUUGCGGGAAGAGGAGGACGCGCUGCAGUUUGUGCUGAUUUGUGCACAUGCUGCUGCGUAUGUACAUACGUACAUACAUUCAGACAAACACAGACGGAGACAGAUAUGACAAAGCGUCGUACACCGUACGCACUCGUUGUCCAUGCCGUCGAAGCACCCGCCCAUGCCGUCCGCCUCCGUACGUGCCGUAUAGCGGCAGAGCUCCAGGAGAGCCUCCCCGCCGGUCAGCCCAGCCGCAUCCUCCUCGGGGGGCGGGGCCAGGCUCUGAAACCUGAGGGUGUGUGUGGGGGGGGUGGGGGGGUGGGGGGGGGGAUAGGUAGCGGCGGGUGGGCAGCGGUGGGGUCCAGCAGGGCAAUAUGCCCCCAGGGGGACCAAAGCGCCCCGUACGGACUCCCCGGCCCUCCCGCUCCCUCCCAUGCGGGGGGACAAGCCGGGUCGUCAUUGCGGCACAAAACACACAAUGUGGCGACAAAACACACUGCUGCUCCACAUGACGACGACGACGACGACACGCGAAGUGGUGUGGGCGGUGGUCCACUCACUCACUCACUCACUCACUCGCGCACUUCACUCUCCGGGUCCGAGCUCCAGGGGGCGGGGAGCCUUGAUAGAUAGAUAGAUAGAUAGAUAGAUAGAUAGAUAGAUAGAUAGAUAGAUAGAUAGAUAGAUAGAUAGAUAGAUAGAUAGAUAGAUAGAUAGAUAGAUAGAUAGACGUAGAGACAUACAGACAUACUAAUAGACAGACAGGCGCCAACAUCAACCACGUCUUCUCCACCCUCUCCCAUCUCCCGGACUCAACCCUUUCCCCCCCCUCACACACACAUAAACACAAAACCCCGCCCGGGAGUUCCCCCCCCCUCGGCGGGAGGCCCCCUCGCCCUCUUUCCUUCAAAUCCUCACCUCACCACAAUCUUGGCAGGAUCAAACCAGUACGACUCUCCUGCUCGUACACGGGACAAGCGGGUAGCAGGUGUCAUUCGCUCCAGGGGCGGGGGCAUCAGAACACCUCUCCCGCGGACCACGGCAACGUUGCGAACAGAACCUUACAUCACCAACAGCACGGCAUCUCUCCAGCAUGCGGAAUCGGAGUCAACGCCGUACAGACGCCGUACCUUCAGAAAACCUCCUUUUGGGUUUUUUGGGUCGUAUAACUGGAUCCGGUGCAUGUGGCGCAUACAAUUUAUUUCAAGGGAGAGGCUAUUUCUGCUAUUUCUGCUCUCAAAGGCCCACCCAGAAGAGGUUAGUUAGCUAGUUACAAGUUACAAGUUACAAGCUCCACGCACGAGUGCGGGGGUAUCCGUAAAAGCCAUUGGGGGGGUGGGGGCCAUGGACGGUGAAUCGUUUUUAGUGCGGUUACGUGGUGGACCAUCCGCCUCCUCCUCCCUCGUUCGCUUCAGGGCGAAGAAGCGCCUUAGUGCAACGUGCCGGGCCUCCGCCGGACUUCCGAGAGAGUUUGCAUAAACAUAGCAUAGCAGAGAUUCCGCUAUGUUAAGGGAACCUAAGGGAACCCCCUAAGCGCCUACCACCCUACCGGGCGACAACGCCGCCAGAAGAACCGACGGCGGCGCAGGUUCCAGGCCCUGCGGCGGCUGCGUCGCAUUCACUGUGUGUAGUACAACCCGGCCAGCCGCCGCCGGCGCCAGGCCGGCAUCCCCGCCGACGGGGGCGCGGUACUGUCCGUACAGCACCUGUGGCGCGUCGGACGGCGGCGGCUGCCAGUCGGGUACCACGAGGAGGAGGUUGGGGGCGGUUAGGGCCGCGGGGGGUAAUGAAACCGUUCGAGAUGUUGGAUCCGGAAAGUCCACUUCGGUUGAUUGGUUGUUCAGUUGACCAGCCAGUUGGUUAGUCGGUUGGUCGUUUUUGCAGUUGGAGAAGGGAUUCAGGGGAGGGAAAGACGGGGAAGAAACAGGGAGUUGAAAUUUUCGGGUCGAUGACCGAAUGACCAAGCGGUCAGGUAGCAGGUCAAGUGAAGAAACUUUCCACACACACAUACGCAUAUGCAUGUUAUUAUAUGCAUAUCAUUCCUCGUUUAGCACAUCGUAAGCUAAUGCAGUUUCGUUUCUGUUGCUGGGCUUUGGAGGCAAACAGAGCACGAAAGAGGCAAGUACCAUGUCCCCAGGGGCCAGCGGUUUUGCCACUGUUGUGGUACUAAUAGCCGAAUUGAGGAUGAAAAAACACGUGUUAUUGGAAUGCCCAGCCUAUAAUGAUAUUCGUGCUGAAGAGGGAUUCGAUCAUCAACAGAGUAUGUUGGAGGCCAUUAAAUGGGAGCCAGCACGUCUGGCGAGGAUGUUGGAACGUAUGUGGGGUCACCGAAACUCAAUUACCCCCUUUGGACGCUAGUCUGGGCUGAUGUGCGGUGUUUUUCCUUUUCUCCGUGGCUUUUAGGCGUUGUAGUAUUGCCCUUGGGCCUUCGGCUCGUAUGGGUAGUCUUACAGGUAUGGGGUCACGCACCCCCCAACCAUGUAACACACACAUAUGCAUGUACAGACAGACAGACAGACAGACAGACAGGCAGAGAAACAAGCGCACACUCUCCCUAGGAAGUGGCACUGUCUACACUAUCCCCUCCCCCCUCCCCUCCCCCUCUCCUCCCCCCUUCCCUCCCCCCUCCCCUCCCCCCGCCCUCCCGAACCACUCACACAGCCCGAUGUUGUUGACGUCAAAGCGGUGAACCGGUUCGGCCAAAUACAGUUUGUAGGCGUUGGGACCGUUGAAGCAACUGCAAGGAUGAAAUACGACAGUGUGUUGUUGUCUGUGCAUGUGUAUGUUUUUGUCUAGGUGGGGGGUCCAGGGAGGGGGAAGGAAAGGAUUUCAAACGUGGUUAAAAGUUGCCAAAACAGGCAACCUGGCAUGUAUGGAUGUGUGCAUGUGUAGGAUGGGUAAGGGGGAACACAUCCACCCCCCCACCCAUCCCACACAGUCAAGAAAGCCACACACAGCCCGCCGUAGCAACAACAACAACCUCAACAACCCCCACCUCAACAACCUCAACAACCCCCACCUCAACAACCUCAACACCCACCUCAACAACCUCAACACCCACCUCAACAACCUCAACACCCACCCCCAACUCCACCUUCACCUCCACCUGCAACCCCAUACUCCCCAAGUAAGGCCCCACCUGUAAGCCCCGGCAUCAGUCGAUCCCAGGGGACAGGUGGGAUCAGUUGGCUGUUGGGAAGUGGCGGUUGACGCGGUUAAAGUGGUUAAGGCAGUUGAGGUGAUGCUUGAGGACGUUUCUGCUGGCUGCAGCAGCAUGGACGACCCGAGCUGUGUCGAGAAGCGCUGGAGUAGCCGCCCUGAAGACGAGGAGGGGGACGAGUCGCCCUGCGUGUGGAAGUACGCGUGUGCGUGUGUGUGUGUGUGUGUGUGUGUGUGUGUGUUUUGAAAGAUGGUGCGGGUCCGGGUGUGUGUGUGGGGGGGGGGAAAUGCGGGGAUGGGGUGGGGAACUGGGGGUGAGGGUACGUCGUGGGGCCUGUGUUUACACGUAUGUGUACGUGUGUAAGUGUAUGUGUAAGUGUAUGUGUAUGUGUAUGUGCCGGGGGAGUUAGAGGGGCCGUAGCGGGCGGGUAAGGGUGAAGUCGAGUAGCAACGAUUCAAGCCCACAUAGGACAUGGGUCGGUAGGUAUCUUCAACGUAACUCCACUUCCCCACCCUUCCACCUCCACCUCCCCCCCGCACACAAAGAUGGGAAAUAAACCGCUAAUGAGGAAAAGGGGAUCAGGACAAACCAUUAAAACCAACCCCGAACAGACUCCCAACCGCCAACCACCUCACCCGGAUCCAGAUGUCGCAGCCCUCGGUUUCAUCGCAACCGAAGCUCCCCCGCUGUUGCCAAUCCGGACAUAAGGCCCCUCCGUAGCCGGGAAUCGGGGAGUCGGCGGGUGGCAGCACCAGGACCCGGCGGCUGUAGGCGGACGGGUCGAAGCCAGGCCGGGUCUGCGGGGACCGUGUGUGUGUAUGGGUGCGUGUGUACGUAUGUACGUAUGUGUGUAUGUGGGAAGGAGGGAGAACUGGCUCUUCCCGACCUGUAACACAUGCGAGGGGCAUUACAAAACCGUCCGUACAUACAUACACGAAUUCUUGUUUGUUUCUUUUCCUCCCUUUUCGUUGGUGGUGUUUGGGGGGUUGUUUCAGAGAGCCUUUGACUUUGCCCUAGCUGAGACUUGUGGACCCACUCUAGCGGGACCUGAGAGCCCUUCGUGGUGUAUUCACUGCAGCGCCAUCCCCGGAUGGAGGGGGAGCGGAGUGGCUGCGUAGAGUGUUGGCAGUCUGAGUCGGGGUCGGGAGCACACAAGACUAACCGACUUGUGCUGUGUGCUCCCGACCCUUGCGCUGUGUUUCGGCUUCGGCCCCCGGCUCUCGCGGCCCACAGUGUAAUCUAAGUCAUACACGGGUUCAAUAUUCCACACAUUCCGGGUUCAAAUCCGCCUGCCCACCCCUCGGUGUGAGGGGUGUUGACUUGGGAGGUGGCCCCCCAUCUUGUGGACGGUGUGGGACGUGAUUAUAACAACUUGCGAGUUGACCAGGAACUAAGUUGUGGCGCCGUUGGUCCGCUAGAUUUGGUUGGAUGCUGGUGGUGAGUUGCCGAACCCAACGAAUACAUUCUGAAAUCGGAUGGGGUGAAUGGAUUAGGGUGCCCCUCUCGCAGGGGAGAGCAGGGAACUGCCUCCAAGGGAAAGGGGGCCGCUGGUGAAGCUAUACCACCCUGUAACAUCAUACAUACAUACACACAGCACGAGGUAUAAAUGCGGCUUCCGCAUCUUAAGGCUUCCACAUGCCGGGCUUACAUACACAUACACCCACAUACACCCACAUACACACACAUACACACGCACACAUACACACACAUACACACGCACACAUACGCACACAUACACACACAUACACACAUACACACAUACACACAUACACACGCACACAUACACACACAUACACACAUACACACGCACACAUACACACACAUACACACGCAUACAUACACACACAUACACACCCACACCCACAUACACACAUACACACGCACACAUACACACACACAUACACACGCACACACACACACAAAACAGACGUGCAGACAGGCGAAACCCUAGAACCCUCCAAGCCCACCCCAUUCAACUGAAACCCACCUGCCGGGUGAACUGUACGGCAUACUCCAUCCAGCCAAACAGCUCGUCCAUGCCGCAGGCGCCGGAGAUACCGGCUGAACCCGGGCUCGCGUCCCAUUUGGCGCCGUUGGGCCUCGUGCCGCUGCACGGCAGACUUAGGUUGAGGACGAGUGUGUUUGAGCGCUUGAGUGCGAUAUUGCCGUACGAACACUCAGAUAGCAGGCGGUUUAGGGCCAAGGGAGGCGCGACGGGGUUCUUGGCGGCGGGCGGUCGGAGGGCGGCGCCGGCGGGGGCCCCGAAGAGCACCUCCGAUACCCUCUGCCGGGGGGAGGGGGAGUUGGGGGGAGGGGGAGUUGGGGGGAGGGGGAGCUGGGGGGAGGGGGAGGAAGGUGACGUCCGCCGGUCUUCCCGUUGGAUUCCCGGUGGGGCUGCCAGUCCUCGCCCCACACGUGGUUAGAGGGACAAGGAUUCCCCCCGACCCCCCCAUACACAUACAUACAUACAUACAUACAUACAUACAUACAUACAUACAUACAUACAUACAUACAUACAUACAUACAUACAUACACACAUACAUACACAUACAUACAUACAUGCGUGCACAAGCACUCAUACGCACUCACACAUACGCACUUCAUAUGUACGGCACAUGCACGCCAGCCCUUACCUGUGCUGUCAUCGGGCUGGCCACGGGUGAGCCGCAGACGCUCGUGAUGACCCACACAGCCAUGCUGAGCCGCAGCGGGUUGGCCGUAUCGCCCGUGUAGUACACUGAGCUGGACGGGUACAGCGGGUAGUCGAUGUUGCUGUCCGGCACUCCUGACCAGGACCAGACGUACAACGUGCCCGGAGGGCCGCCAAACACCGCCGAGGGGUUGCUCGUACUGGCUACGAAACCAGACUUGUCUAGAUCCACGAUGAGUUCCACAGCAUCCCCUGAAUGUACGAAAUCACGACAUGGUUUGUACGACAUGUGCGAAGAGGUAUGUAGCUGCCGUACACAGACGUGGACCUUUCGCCCGCCAAUUUUCAACGUCAGACGACCUCCACGACGAUUGCUACUGCUACUGCUGCAAACAGUAACGGUAAUAUAACUACAGCUGUGUGUGUAUGCAUUGAUACAUCCCCGCCACCAAAUCCAAGGAUGUGCUCCCGGAGGUCCCCCUCCGUCGCAGCUAACCCCCUCCCCCCCUCCCCCACAGCAUUGCGCUGCCCGCGUUCUCCCCCCUCUCCCCCCGGCCCCAUCCCCCAAACCCCAAAACCCUAAAACCCCCUCUUCUCACCAGUCUUGAGCUCGGGGCCCGGCGGGACCACAUUGGGUCCGAAGACCAGACUGUACAGCACCCAUUCCUGUAAUGCAGGAUCGUACAGGUUGACGUGUCAGGGCCCGUUCACUUCAUGUUUUGAAUGAAGGCCUCUACUACACACAUAUAAACACACACACAACUUCCCUUCAGCAUUUCCUCAGUGCGUCUAAGAUCAAUGAGACACACAUAUUACGAUAUACACACAACACGACAAGGGCCUUUCUUCGCGCUUGGUCGGGUCUGAAUGGUCAUAUGAAAUGUUUCCACACAUUUUCGCAUUACUACUACUACUACUGUGAACUUGUUGAAUGAGAGUUUGAUCGCUACCUAUCAUCACCAUCACCAUCGCGCUCGUUCUCUGCGUCUUUAAUCGUAGAUUGAGUUCCCCUCGUGUGUGCCUGCCUGCCUGCGUUUUCCCCUUCAUAUCGAUUUAGGUCGUCGCAAUGGGUGUCGCUUCGCAUUUCGCCGCGGUGGGUGCACCGCUGGUCCCGGGCUACCAGCCAGUGCCAGGCCGGCGAGGUGGCGAUGAUGAUGAUGAUGAUGAUGGAAAGCUGCGGCCACACAACAUUGCAUAGAGAGCCGCGCAACUUAGCUCUUCUUCUUCUUCUUCUUCUUCUUCCUUCCCUCUUAAUUUUUCUUCUGUCUGUCGUUUAUUAUUACCAAUAUACUUAUACUACGUUUGUGACUCGCUUGUUGCUUGUUCAUUCUCCUUGAAACUUUAUGCGUCGCAGCUGCUUCGCCCGCCAGGCAGGCAGGCAGGCGCCGGCGCGGAUUUUCUCCUUCCGCGCAAUAACCCUCCCUUUUGCCCGUCCUCAUCUGGGCCUACCAUACCGGUACUCGUGUGCGAUUGGGCUCUUCUGAGGCGCAUAUGCAAAAUCAUGAGGUUUUGUUUUCUGUAUGUUGUGAGGUUUCGUAUGAGCAGGUUUGGAUGUCAUCCGGCUGAAACGUCAUGCGCUCGUCAGGGCCACUGCCCAGCUGAAAAGGGAAGAGAAGGUUUUUUUAGGGAAAGCACAAUUCCCAAAUAUCCUGACGAGGCGUACUCCCAGACAAGGCGAUUCUCAACUGACUAGGACCUUGCCUAACGAGGAAGUGCGCUGUUUCUGUACGGCAAGUGAUCAACUUCCAUCGCAUCCUAUUGAGGAAUUGGGAAUUAGGCUGAGCUGAGUCAGAUGAACGAAUCCCUUCAUCUACCUAGCUACCGGGAACUUCCCCUAACGGAAUCUCCGAACGAAUUAGGAGAUCCCCCAUCACUCUUAAAUCGUAAAAGACGAGAGUGCUAUUUAAAGUGAAAAAUGCUACGAAACAAAUGUCUGUGGGCGCAGAUGUUCCUCCAGCGAAAAGUUCCCAAAUCAAGAAAGGCCUUUAGGCAAGGAAUGGAUCCCCAAGUCGGAAAGUUCAUAAUGUAACACUAUAUACGAGACAGUCCUACAUGAAAAAGAUGAUUAUAUAAAAACCUCUCGGCCACACAUAAAGGCCUUGCAGAACGGAAGCACCGUUGAGUGCAUCAUAACGCCCCCGAACGCCAGCCAGCCGGCCGCACUUACCCCGUUGCUGUACUUACGAACAUGAUAGGAUGUACUGCCAACGAGCUGCUGUCCAUAGCGCGGCGCAUUCAGCACCACAAGUUUGGCUUGCGGGCACACGAGGGUGAGGGUUGCGGGGCACGGGCAAGCAGGGGGAUUUGCGGCUUGGGGAAGCACGGGAGGUGGCAGGGCCUGUAAACAGACGUAGGGAAAGCGGUUACAGAGGAGUAAGGGAUGAGCUGCAGUAAGGGGCCUCCCUUAUGGUUCGGAGAGAAGAAUGUUAGCAGCGGGACAAAGAAGCGGGCCCCGUGGAAAUGGAGGACCCGGCGUGCGGCAUAAUGGAAUGGAAAAAGGCCCCGGUCAUGGAUUGGCGAGAUUUGCGGGGUUCGGCGUCGAUGUAGAAGAGGCAUCGGAGCGAGGUAGAGCUUGAGCAACGCAUCCUGGGCACGAUAAGACACAUGGCGACAAAUCUUAAUGCUAUAUUGCUAAAGGACACUUGUUCAUGGCCGGCAAUUGUUGGAAACGGGUGAGGACGCUUGAAAGGUCGAACCGAUGGACAUGUUCCAAACUGGGCAACACGUUCCUGACUGACGAACGCCAUCGAGCCGGUUGCCAAUGCUUUACAGAAACAGGAAGAUGGGCGCUAUGAGAGCUAAGCAGUGGAUAGUAAAGCUGGAAUCAGGAUUGUGGAUUGUUCUGUUGCAGUUCACAGUGCCCUGCCCAGGCCCAGUUGCGUACCUUGAAACUGGUCAAUGCUGAUCGCGUCCAAAGGCAGAGUCAGCACCCAAAUUCCUAUGAGCUUAAUGCACAGAAUACGCCCCAAAAGGCUUUUUGGUAGCCAAGCGCUCGGGUUUCCCGCCAUUAUAGCACCUGCAGUGAUUGUAUUACUGACCGCUUUUUCUCCGUAGCAAAAAUCACUGGGAGCUUCAAAGUCAACUUAAAAUGUAUUCGCAGUACGUAAUUAUGAGAACACGACAUGAACGGAUCAAGUACAUCUCUGUCAAAAUAGUAACGACAGCCAGGACUUGCUUUCGGGAAUUGAGCUGAAGUUGGACCGAUGGGCUGUUUCCGGUUGCCUUCGCUCGUUCGUCAUGAUAGUCGGUACGAGAGAAAACCUUGGCAAGCCCUUGCUGCCUGGAAAGGCAGUCCCGCACCCCGUGCGCCGCAAACGCGCAAAGGUAGGAAAUACGUUGUACUUGCGAUUGCAGCGCUUUUCUCGUCGGCGACAUUUUCAUAAUAUGGCGUUCCGUAGCUUGGCAAUUUGCAAAGCGGGCGAACUGUAGCUUUGCGAAGUACACUUCCAACAUGCUGGGCAUCGACCGCUGCAAUCGCCGCAGCAAAACACGGCAAUCUCCAGCGUCCUUCCUAUCUUCGUGUUUCGAUGAGUAAGCUACAUGACCACCAGCUGCAACUGCCGGCUCUGUAGCAGUACAGUACGAGGAAGUGACAGCGAUAUCCGUCAUUUUGAUCAAACAGCAUGGAAAAUAUGAAACCAAAAAGUUAUGUUCCCAGACGGUUCCCAUCAUGAGCAAUCCUUCGGUCGCGCUAGGUUUCCGCGCUUUUACCGGUAGACCGAUAUCGUACAGCACAGGCGAUUGGGUUCAAUCUCGCGCCAUGCCGAGCUACCGACUCCCAACCCCAUGCCCAACCGAUUCCAAGAAAACUUUCAACCCUUCCAUCCAUCCGUCCAUCCUUCCGGCUCUCUGUGUGUUCCGUAUUUGUAGAAUUCUACAUCCCAACACAACGUUCUUCGUCAUUUGCAUCAGCAUCAACUAACUCAACGCAUCGCAACUGAUGGCACCCAACCACUCUCGCAAGUCCCCAUGCUCUACCACAGGAACCCCCAUGACCUUUUCAUCCUUCCGCCGCCCACCGCCUACAAGCGAGCGAGACCGCAGCCAACCCCCGCUCCCACCUAGCUCGGCACUCCCUCCCACUCCCUCCCACUCCCAACUACCUCGGCACCCACCCCCGCCCUCCCCCAGCACACGCACACGCACACGCGGGCUGCCCUCCGGCCAAACACACACACACACAACACCAGCUGAGGACCCCUUCAAACACAGACAACAGUACGCACAUACAUACAUACAUACAUACAUACAUACAUACAUACAUGCCUAUAUAGAUGCACACAUACAUGCAGACUCGUCAAACGGGCGUCAGAUGUCACGUGGCCGCUCCCCCAUGGAGCGUCCCCCUCACCGCACCCCAACUAACUAACUAACCAACCAAUAAACAGGGACAAAUGCGCACAUGCACAUGCACACGCAUACAGCCACGCCAAACACGACCUGCCAGCUGGUCUACCUGCCCCCCUACACGCCCGCCUGCCACCUGCCAAUCGUACUCCCGAAGCCACCUACCAGUACUCCCCAUCCUCCUCCUCCUCCUCCUCCACCCCUCCAAACCCAUCACGCUCUUCCCCCACCCACCCCACCCCCUCUCCGGGAAAAACCCCUCACCCACGGGGCUCACAGCGACCUCCGCGGUGUAUAAUACGUGUACAGAACAUUAUUUGGUGUCCGGCUGCAGGCCAGGCGCCGAAGCCAACGCCGGGGGCCCCGAAACCACCUUCCGCCACCUACCCCACCAUGAAGCCGACGCAGACCCUGUCUCCGCUGCUUUAGACUGCGUCUUUGAGCUGCUGGUCGUGGUGGUGGUGGUGCUGCUGCUGGUGCUGCUGGUGCUUGUGUUGGUGCUUGUGGUAUCGUUUUGGCCCCGGCUAUCGAGGCUGGGGCCUAGCUCCUUAUCGCGAAUAGCAGCACUACUGGUGGCGUCGUCGGCGGCUGCGGCUGAGGGCUGCGGCCUGGCCAACAGCGCCGCCCUGGCCAAUGACAGCGCUCUCCGUACGGCGGCGCCGACCGCGCCAUCGCCGUACGACGACUUCGGGACGUUCAGCUCGUCCAGCUCGUCUUCUAACUCGUCCUCGACCUCGUAAGAUCGGGAGUUGCUCAAUGCCUGGGAUUUUAACGAGGGUGGAAGGGGUUGGAAGGUUGCUGUUUGCAGUUGGCGGUUGAGGUUUCUCAUCGUCAUCAGCGAUUCCCGUCUACCCCAGCCAACCCCUGCUAUAGCAGCCUACAUUUAUGAUAUCAUCAUAAAUUAUCCAUAUAGCAGUUGGGUAAUGAGGCACCACCACCACGACGUCGACGACGACGACGAUGGCGGGCGAUUUUUGCGGCGUGCGUUGGCGGUUGAAGGACAGCAGCGCGAGGCAGACUAGACUAGCGCUGAAAUUGCGCUGAUCGCGCUAAAGCAUAAAGGAACUAGCUGCAUGAAGCGAUAAGGCAGGACUGCUACAACGAACAAAAAGAAAGAUACAUCAAGGAAAGAUAUAUCAACAGAGGGAUGUAGCUCCAUUACCUAAUACUCUGGCGGGCGAUCCGAGCCCUUUCCGGUCCGCAUGUACGACCAUUCGUUGAUUUUUUGUUCAGCUCUCAUCGCAACGGAGACGGGGGAAAAUUUCCUCUGUCGAAGAUAUUUCUCAGCCAGCAGAGUAAAAUUUACAUACAGGCGAAUUCAGUACUUUGUUUGAAGCCCUGUUUAGCGGGCCGUUCGCUUCCUAAGGGACUGCCAUUAUUAGGCGACCUUGGGUGAACCCCGCGUCUUCCCCAUAGGGAUUACCGGAGCCAAGGCUUGUCGCUAUAUGAACUGGAUGGGAGCGGCCCCGCCUAAGGGUGCGCGUCUCGAUUGGUUGGAGCACACUAAAGUGACCAUCCCCCAGCGACUACAUCAUGUGCUCAUGCGUUUUCGGUUAGACUGUUGGUUAAUAGGCCUAAGGGGCGUGAGCGCACCGCGCGUACCUGCAGGCUUUGUGACUGUGGAGCGGUUGAAGAUGAGUUGCAUGUUUUUGAUAAAUGCCCCGCUAACAAGAGCAUACUGGCGAAGUACGAUGGUGAGAUAGUCUUUAAGGGGCGCAGCAUGCGCACCAUUAUGACUGAGGCGCCGCCCCUGGCAUUGGCCAGGUACCUCUCAGAAAUUUGGGAGGCCAGGCAUGUCGCGCUGAGGCGCUUCACCCUGAAGCGAACGAAGGAGGAGGAGGAUGGCCUCCCGCGUACCCGCACUAAUACCAAUACAACGUCCAUGGCCCCCGCGGCUUUUACGGACACACCCGCACUUGUGUGCGGAACUUGUAACUUGCAACUUGUUACUUGUUACAAAACCACCACUACGACGCUUCCACACCUUUCCCCGUUCCCCUAAGACCAACCAACCAACCAACCAACCAAUUCCCCAACACCCUAAAAACACGUUAACCUUCCCAGCCGCCCAACUUCCCCCCCAAACUCCCACCUUGAGGAAAGGGCUCCGCAGCUCCCCCAGCACCCCCCCUCGCUGGUACGCCGCCAGGUCACCCACCGCAUACACACGGGGGUAGGAGGGCGGCUCUGGAGGGGCGGGGGCGGGGGCGGGGGACAAUCCCCCGGGCAAUCCCGAUGGCGGCGGUGGUGCCGCUGACAGUCCCGUACUUCCUCCCGCCGGCAGCGCCUGCUGCAGCUCUGGACCCAGAUCAACCGCCAACAACUUCCACACGUAACGACCCUGGGGGGAGGGGAGCGAUGGCGAAACGGGGCAUGUGGCUGGUAACGGUUGCCUUUACUUCUUUACGGCUUCGUUUUACUUUUCUUCCGCGCUCACUUUAGUUUUGGCGGCUAGGUAGGUAGGUUUCCGCGGUCAUCAUCAUUACCAUUAUCAGCCCUAGGUCGUCGCCUUCAAGAACGCCUACUGGUCAGUUCUGCUCCUUGGCAGCAGCUUCACUCGUUCGUGGCUCGUCAUUCCCCCCCUCUUCCCUCCCCCGCACCUGCUGCCUCUUGGCCUCCAGCGACACCAGCCCCUUGCGGUCGGGCCCCGACAGGGGGAACAUCAUCUGGAUGCGGCGGGAGCGGAGCUGAAGGGGGGGGGAGGGGGGGGAGGACGGGUUAAAGCAGGGAUUGCGGGCGGGGAAGGGGGAGGGAGGGGGGACGAUUCCUGAGACAGUACGGAAACGAGACGAGACGAAAAUGAGGUAGUAAGGAGAAAAAGCGAUGGAACAUGGGUGACGUGCCGCCGGAAGCGGAAGCGGGGAAGGGGAGAGGAGAGGAGAGAUCCGACAGCACUUGCACACACACGCGCACAUACACACACGCACGGCCUCACAUAUACGGCAAUACCUUGAUCCGAAAUUUCUUCGAAAGGUACAGUCCCCCUCCCGUUACCACGUAUGCUCGUACGGCACUACCCACUAGAGGAGCGCCCAUGACCUGUACGACAACCGGAAAGCGGAGUGAGGGGGCAAAAGGGAGGACGGCGGGGCAACGUACGACACACGACACAUGACCGUAGAAGAGUACAGAGACCCUGGAGGAAAGGGGCCAGGCGUGUGCGUGUGUGUGUGUGUGUGUGUGUGUGUGUCCCGGGUGGGCGGGCGGGAAAUCGUAAAGUAAAACCCUAAGAACCAAUGCUUACUUUCAGGCAGAUGUGAUGCCCCCCGGGGGGAGGCAGGAAGUGGCUCUAAAAGGGGCAAACAAGUUAGGGGCGUUGGGUCGAAUCCGAAAAGGAGAGGGAAGAACUCUUAGGCCCCCAGAUCAAAAUGAAUUGCAUGGCACGCAAAUGAACUGAGACAAGUAGGCGGAGGACUCAGCCCCAGAUCAGCUGGGUAUGCAAAAGUGCCCCAACAGGCCCCCUCCCCCCCCUCCCCCCCCCCUUUUUUCCGCCCCCAUGGGUACCUCAAGGACCCCCGGGUGGGUGUUUAGCUGGACCAUGGCUUUGCGGUAUACGGCAGCUGGAUCGAUUGCCGUACGCCAACGCAGAUACAGAGCGCCCAGCAGCACCGUACUGGCCGCCACCGCCUGAGGGCAACCACCCGCAGCCCGAGGAAAGGGGGAGUAAGCGGGGGAUGGGUUUCGUGUAUUUGCUGUGUUUUCUCUUCCUGCACGUUUUCGUGUGCGUCUGUAUGUGUGUGUGUUGUUCUUUUGUUGCUUGAGGGGGGGAACGCGCACCCGCGGCUGGACAUCGGGGUCGCAGAUUCAACAUUAGGUUUAUUGGUGGGCCGGAUAGGCACGCAGGCGAGCAGACAAACAUACAUACAUACAGACAGACACAGACAGACAGACAGAGGCAGGUAGACAGACAACCAAACAAGGUAGCGCCCCUGGCACCUCUCAGGCCCGUCAGCUCCAGCGGUCGGUACGUCAGCAUACACAUACGUAUAACCCGUGCCGUACGAGCACACGUACAGACGUACCAUGACGCCGUACUCCGCCAUCCGGUCGUUGACGGCGAUGAACGUAUUAGUCACACUCCGCAUGACGCGCCUGAGCGGCGGCGGCGGCGGCGGGGGCCCAUGUUGAACAAGGAAGACAUACAUACGCACAUACACACACGCAAAGCUACUCAAAAGUUGCUCGCGUGCGUGCAAUACCCUUUUCGACGUUUUCUUCUCUUUGAAAACCAGCUAGGCAGUUAUUAGCUAGACAUUUAAACCGUUUAACGCUUUUGCAGGUGCACAAGAUUUCCCCCUUUUCCCCCCUUUUUUCGCCUUACCCCCUUUUUUCCCAUCCGCACAUGGGCCCCCGCCGCGCCCCGGCCCCCACCCCACCCGCACGCACCAGAGAACAACCACAGCCGCCAGCGCCGUCGCCACGUACAUAGCGGUGCCGUACUUGUGCCAUGCCGCCGCUAGCUGCAGCCGCAAUGCAUCCCCCACGCGGCCCCUCAGAACUCCCCCCGCCCUCCCAGCGCUGCUGCUGCUGCUACUGCUGGUAGUUGUGGUGGUUGUAGUGGCGGCAGCCUGGUCCCCCCCAACCCCCCAGGAAGGUACCCGUAACGGGGGUUGGGGAGGUGGGCACCAGGCGGGCAGUAGAAAGCCGGGAGGGCAAGGGAGGGCAAGGGAGGGCAAGACAAGCAAGUUCAGCACUUAAGGAGGGGUUGGGGUAGUGGUGGUGGCUUCGGAAGAUCCGCGGGGGAGAAUGUCCGGAGGGGGAAGGGAGCCUGGCGGGCGAGAAGGAAGGAUAAUGGACAAGAGUGCACUCAGUGACCUCAUGAGAAUUCCAAACUUCGGAUGUGUGUGUCCCCCAAUCAACGGUAAGGGCAGGGAAGGGCAGGGAAGGGAAGGGCAGGGGGCGCCGCGCACCCAUACUCUGUCCGUUUGCUUGCAUGUCCGAGCCAAUCAACUGUUGUUGGGGCCCCCUUUUUUAAAAUGACGUAAACACGCCCAUGUGCACCUGCACAUCAUCCACGCAUACACACAUACAUACUUACAUACCUGCGUGGACAUUCGCCGUACUCUAUACGGCGGUCGUCUUGGCAAGCCUUGCAUCGCCGGGCCAAUAAGGCCCCGCCCUCGAUUCGCCAACGCAAAACCAUCAACACUGAAGCAGCGCCGGGCACCCGCCGCCGCCGCCCCCGCCGAUGCCGCCGCCGCCGCCGAUGCCGCCACGGCGGGGCUGGUCGCCAUCGCGGCAGAGCAACUGCUACAGCUUCCAAAGCUGCUCCGCAAGGGAAUGUGAUGUGGCUGUAGCGGCUGCAACAGCCGCCGCCGUACAGGACCCCAAAGCGUGCCACCGCCGCCGCCACCAACGCCGCCGAAGCUGAACAAGGAUUCGAUUUUGGAUUCUAAACCCAGCCUGAUGAUGGCGGCUGGGCUCGAUCCUGCGACGUUGGGCAAUAGCAAUAACGGUCUAGCAGCUUCGGAUCAAAGGCGAUUUGGGUUUCAACUUGGCAUUCACAUUCAAGCACCGGGAUGGGUAGGGUACAGCCCCAGGCGACCGUCACGGGUGUCAAAACUGUCCAAUUUGGGAUGUUCAAUCCCAACAUGACGGGAAGGCUUCCCACUCCGGGGGGCUGUCACGCAACCCGCAACGUGCUCAGUCUCUUAGUCCGCUAGGUCCCAGCAAUUCCCCGAGGGAAGCGGGGUCGAUGUCGGGGAAGGGGACAUGAUAUGCCUGAACGCGUGCACCUCUGCAACCGGCAGGGUUCCUUCCGUUCAGCAAAGGAUGUGUGGUGCCAAGUGCUAGGUUUGAAACGCAACCCAUGUGCGGGCGCAUGAAAGAGCUCAGAAGUCGGCGCGGAGGGAGAGAGAGUGGAGGAGAGAAGGCGUACCUGCUGCAGCGGCUGCAGCAGCUGUCGCGUUGCCGUGCGAAACAGCGACAGAGCCAGAUGAUGUGAAGGAAUGAUAUGGACGAGAUGGUUGCACAGCAGGUGUAGCGGCGUUGCUUGUGGCGGUGGUGGCAGUCGCCGUUAAAGCUCUAAUGGAACGUUUUUGUGUCGCGGAGCCCGCGCUCAGCACUGUGCAGCUGCGCAGGGUUCGGAGGAUUGCUGCGACGCCGCGGGUACCAUAACCAGGCAUCACAGCUGCUGUUGAGGACGCUAGGGCUGCUGACGCUGCGAGCGCGCACGUUGCUGAAUGCUGAUGUGUUGUGAACAGUCCCGUCAAGGUGCCAGAAGCCGGCGCUGGAUAUGGCGAUGACAUAUAGCUAUGAGUCGAGUUUUGGGCCAUUGCACCUUUUAUGGACUUAAGGGAAAAGGAUGAUACCGGUACCGAACUCCGCGCUGCUGUAAGCUAAAAAUCAGGCGUUGCCGAGUUGCAGACGCUUCAGUCUAAACAUGAGAAAGGCAUUUUGUGUAAUUAUGCGCAUGUACAAACGGUCUUCCGUCACAGUAAACUAAGCUGCGGAAAAUGGUAUUUGAGGUCGUUCUUCCAGGGUUGCAGUGCUCCGGCCUAACUCUCCCAGGUCGCGAUCCCCCGCAACAUUAAUGGGGUGAGCUGACUGCGACAGAUCAGCACGUUUGGCUAGGUACAGUACGGCGGUCGGUUAGUUCCGAAUGCUCUUAGGCCGAAAGCAUGCCUUUAAAGCAGCUCCCAUCCCUCCAUGAUUGUCUGCUUUUAUUGCAUGCCACGUGCGCGGCUUUCUGUUCAUGGGCCGUUUGCGUUUCGACAAGAGCUCUGGUUUUGGCAUGGGCCAAGGCUUUUCAGUCAUCUCAUAGCUCAAUGACUAUAUAUAGGUCGCGAGCAUGGCGACAUCCCUUAGUCAGGCAGAUGCAUGACCAGAGGCACGAACCUUGAACCUUGAUUUGGCAUUUCCCGCGUAAUUAACUCUCUUUCCCCUUGUUCCCCCUCGGCGUGCCUCACUCGACCCCAAAGCCGUUUGGUGGGUGUGUUGGGGUGUGUUGCCCUCCGGACAUUGCGACCGUCAGAGGAAAUGCCUCACGUAAGUGCACAGCGUUACGGCUUUCGUUUCGUGGGUCGUCAAUCCGAACUGUCUUACUGCUAUGGUGUAAAGCCUCUUUUCUGGGGAACCGGCUCUUGCACCACUACCACCCAAUCUCGUUUUCGGUAGCUUCCGGGCGGCAGAGGGGCAUCAGCUGAGGCAUUUUUGCGCCGACACCUCCCUCGGCCAACGCCUUUCGCUCCUGCUAUUACUGCCAUUAUUGCCUCUUAUGGCGCUACAUUUCUCUAAACAUGUCGUGUAGUUAUGGCGUCUGAUUCCUCGUUUGUUAUGUGGGCGUUAUACCUGGUGGGCGCAAGGCUGAUGAAGAUGGCCCGGUAAGGCACUUCGUUCACGUGGGAGCAUGGUGUCGAAGAACUGCAAGUACGGGCGAGUGACCGACUUAAGCUUAAUGACCAUCAAGAACACAUCAAGAAUAAAAGAAAGAUUUAGGAACGACGAGUCUUUGUCAAAGAGCCUCCGCAAAAGCUGUCGCUUCCUAACCCAAGUACAUCUCCAGCGUCGUGCUAACACAAAAGUGGACAAUGCGCCUAGACCCCAGACAACUGGAUGCCAUAUCGGCGUCUCACCGUAUGACCUCAUUGGUUUUUGAACAGAAGCGGUGCCAAGAGGCAAGGCGCGCACAACGACAUGUACGAAUACGUUCGUCCUGUCGUACAUCCCUAACACAUCCAUUUUCGCAUACCUGCUUGCGCUUCCAGCUGUCUGUCCGCACGCACCCUGAAGUCCUCUAUGCCUUAGAUUCCAAAUCCCUAGCACGACCACGAGCAUGCCGAUUGUGUACAAAAUGCGCAGUUCCGUCCCAAUGGGGUUCGAACCCACAUAAGCCCCCAUGGGGCAGACUGCGAGAGCCCGUCCUUGCACUAAAAUGCCGUUCCCCAUACAACCCAAGCAGUUUACUCGACCCCCACGCUAGGCUCUCCCCGCGUCCUGCGCUAUGUGUUUUUCCAACAUUGUAAGUCCCGCACGACUCCUGCCCUUUGCCUGGAUGAAUUUGUUAUUUAAACUGCUGAAUUGACCGCAUCCGAGCCGGAGAAAGUUGACAAAUACGGGGAAAAGCAACUAUGGAGGUGCGAGUGAAUUUGGGCAGUGUGGGAAUAAUUGACUGGGGGAAGCUCGGAAGGCAGGAAGCUGCGGUAGACAACGGUAUGUAUGUACGUAUGUAUGUAUGUACGACCCAUGAGACGGACGGAAAUAUGUACGACAAUACAAAUCUGCCUGCCUUGUGUGAACUAUAUCGUCGUGAUGACCACGGGGCCUGAGGGCAACCAGCCAAGGCGGAGUAGGGCACGGCAUGGGGAAACGGAGCGGAAAUGAGCAGGACGCGGCCACACGCAGGUCAGUCACAUCAAGGAAUAGGAAAGUUUCCACGUUAAGCGUCAGCGGUAGGAUGGCCUAGUCGCUGGUGCAGAACUGUUCACGGAGUCCGCUGCCUUUCGACGACUUGCGACUGGAAGACUGCUAUGCGCUGUAAAAAUCCCUGCGAACAACAAUGCUUUCACGCAAAUAGACUUUGUAAACUCAAUGAUCUCAACUACUACAACUGCGAUUAUGACGUGCCGAGGGCAAUGCGACCUUUCGUUAGGGGUUAGGAAAUCACCCUUGAUCAGUAUCACCCAUGCCGCGACAGCAUUACAAUACUUUCAGACUUCAACUCUUAGGAGUUGAUGCUGCAUUUUUAUGGGCUCUUCAAUGAUGCGAACGAUAGCGGGGAGAUAUGUUGCAAACGCCUUGCGCAGGAUCGGUGUGCGGUGCUGCGUAGCCCAGCCCAUUCUCACUGUUAAAUGGAUCCAAUUUGAAAAGACGAAUGCGGUGGAUGGCCAUCAAUCUCAUAUCAUGCGAGCUUGCGUCCGGCUUGCCGCACGCUACGAUUUCGAAAACUUUACAUUUCGAACUGAUUGUUUCCAAGUAGGCUGAGGAACUACACACAUAAGAACGUGUCUGAAUCUGCCAUAAGCUCCAUCCUGAAGCUCCCUAAAGCCCUGGUGGGUGGCAAGUCGGACAGUAUCCCAUCCGUUAUCGUCAUAACUGCUGCUCAACAAAUCUGCUUUUAAUAUUCAUAGAUUCGAGUCCGGAAAACGUCUUGAUCGUCACUCAGUGCCGAUCACUUUUUCUAACGACAGCCGUUGCAGCCAUUUGCAGCCGUUGCGCUGUGUAAGCUUCUAACUACCAGACCUCAGCAGCACCGAAGACCUUUUUGGAAGCGCUAAGGAAAGUUACGUCGUCUCUGCCGGGUUGCGUCCAGAACAUGAGUCGCACAAUGGCUUCGCACAUCGGUCAAAGGACGUCCACACCGGCCUUGCGCCCGGUUUCACUUCAACUGCCGCCGGCGCGCCGCAUCCUCUUCUCCUGCCCCUUCUCUGCCCUCACGAACGACGGGAGCGCGGCAGCCCGCCCUCUUCCUACCUCUCUUCUCCCUUUCAACCCUGCGAGCCGUUCACGUCUGGGUCGCGCCCGGCUCCGCAGUCGAUGUGCCAGCACUCCCAGCUCCACCACCACCACCACCGGGCCCCCUAGCAGGAAUACGCACAAGUCGGUGUUUCUCUUGCCGGGAUCAGCGGUGUCGUUGCCACUGCAGCGCCGUCAGCGUAUCGGCGACGCCGCGGGUAAAAGACAGGUCCUCGUCGUCACGGCCGCGGCAUCGGCGGCCGCAGCGCCGGACGGCGCCAGCGGCCGCGGCGACGGCGCCGUCGGCGCCACCACCACUGACACGACGGCUGCCGCCGCCGGCUCCAGCACGCCGCUGAGCCGCUUCCUAUCCAUCUUCCAGGUCUUCUCAGACGAGCGAUGUAACAGCAAAUUGCUGGCACUGGCCGUAGGUACGGUAUGAGGUUAGUUAGGAAAGUGGUUAGGGGGGACGAGACACGUGGGGAUGGGGCGGGUGUGAGGUCGGUGGCGGUGCGGGUGGGGAGGUGGGAGAUGGCAGGCAAGUAAUCAAGAGGAUGCAUGUUUAAGGUGUUUAGCCAUGUUGGGUUCCCACAUCCCCCUCUCCAUCCACAUGCCCGCUUCACGGCAGCCCUUUGACCCACUUGGGCAACACGGGCAGUUGGUACCGCGUGGCGUGUUUCGCAAGAUCUCUCCCCCCUUUCUCCCCUCCUCCGCCCCCCCCGCGCUCGCUCACAACCCCCCGUCNGCGCAUCUUACACCCGUACAUCCAACGCCUAACCCCCGNNNNNNNNNNNNNNNNNNNNNNNNNNNNNNNNNNNNNNNNNNNNNNNNNNNNNNNNNNNNNNNNNNNNNNNNNNNNNNNNNGUACAGCCGUACAGCCGUACAAUCGUAACCCCUUCCAAGUCCCAACUGGUUCAUCUCCUCACAGUCCUCUCGACAGGACACACACGGCCCCCCAUGCCCCGCCCCCAGGUGGUUGACUCCGUGGCUUUUUGCCGCGUAAUUCCCCCCCCCUUAUACACACACACCCUCCCCAGGUAGUUUCGGACUUUGGACGCCGUGGCAGAUCAUUUCGGAUUUCCUAUUUGCACAUGAUUUCCCCCCCCCCCCCGCCUUUUCCCCCCCCCCCCACUCUCUCGGUCAUAGAAGAGGAACCUAAACCUAAUUAUGUCGUAUCCUUUCCAUUCCUGUUUACGUACGAUGUGUGGUGGUUGUUUCCUUGCAGAUUGGUGCCGUACAGGGCGCUGCCCAGUUCCUGUGCCAGAUCAGCAAGGGUGUCAGUGGGGUGGUGGGGGACAUCCUCGGAUCGCAGGUGGGAGCGAGAUCCAAAUCCAGAUCCAGAUCCAGGGGGAGGUCAGGGAGGCAAGUAGGAGAUGUAGGGGGUUUCAAACUCGGUAGAAAAAGGGGCCCCAAGGCCGCCAAAGGCCGCGGAAAGGAAUGUGUGCCCCUUUGUCCGUCUGUUUGUCCGUCUGUCUGUCUGUACUGCUCUCUCCGUUAUUUGCCGUCGUGUGUAAUUGUUAGAGGGUGCUGUUGCCGGGGCGCCGGGAGGCCCGGGGGGGAGGGGGGAAAGCGCUCCGGGGCAAUCAGAUGCCUGUCUCCUUCCCUACCCUUAUCCUUAUCUUGCCUUGCCGUACAUUGCCGUAACAUUGCUUUUUUCACGUUUGUCCCGAACCCACCUCCUCACCGUCCUCUCCCCUCCCCACGGCCGCGUCGGAAUCCCGGUAUUCCCGUAAUCGGUAUUGGGUCUUUGACGACUCGUCCGCAGACCCGCGUGUUGGUGUUCGGCACGUUGCUGACGUUUGGCUGCAAGCCCAUGUUCGCGUUGCUGAGUACGGUGUACGGCAUCUUUGGCGUUACGGCGUGCCUUUACUGGUGGGUUUUCCCCCAGGGCAGAGUUAUCGAGGGGAACCCUGGGGCGGCGGGAAGUGAAGUACGGGGAAGAGGAAGGGGGAAGGGGGAGUCGUGUGUGUGUGUGGGGGGGGGGGGGGAGAAGGGGAGAAGGUGAGGAGCCGCCCUCCCCCCCACUUUAUCUCCGUAUAUCGUUUCCAUUUUCAGUCCCGCUUUUUCCUCUGGAGGCGCACAUCACCUUGUUCCUUGUUCCAUCAUUUAUACUUUAAUACCUUGAUACCUCAAUAACCCAGUUACGGCUCUCUCACAGCUCUCUAAGUUUAUGGUUUGUGUGCUAUGCCAAGUCAUCCUCGAUUUUACCUCUUAAGAAAUGAAUCACUGUUGGAGUCACAACUCUCUCACAACUCUCUCACAACUCUUUUCAGCUUCCCCACCCCCCCAAGCCCCCCGCCUAAGGAUCCCCCCCAAGCAUACCCCAACGCGGCCCCCUCUCCUAGGCCUAAAUGUGCGUCAUUUCCACGUCCACAGGUUCUUCAUGGCCAAGUUGUUCGACCGGCUGUCCAAGGGCAUUCGGGAGGCGCCCACCAAGGCCGUGAUGAACGAGCUGGCGAAGGAGAGCGGUGACGCACCGGAUGCAGCAUACGGUGAGCACGUAGUACGGCAGUACGACACAUACACACACGUGGAUUUCCCCCACACGCACACGAAGAGAGAUACACGCGCACAUACACAUGGAAAAAAUACAAAAUAGAAUACACACGCACGGGGUCAAACGAAUAUACGUGCAUGCAUGCAUACAUACACACAUACACACAUACACAUAUAAUACAUACAUACAUACAUACAUACAUACAUACAUACAUACAUACAUAGCGAUACGUCCUGUCGUGUCCUGUCCUGCAGGUCUACGGCAGUCUCUGGCCACGGCGGGAAUGUUGAUCGGCUCUACGGUGGCCUCCCUCACCUUCAGCGCCACUGGCAACAACUACAUCCUGACCUUCACAGUCGCCGCCAUCCCCCCCGCCCUGGCGUUGCUGUGGCUGGGGGCGGUGAGUUUGGCGGGAAUUGGACGGAUGGGCAUGGAUGGAUUGCGUGUAGAAUUGUGUGCAAGGGUUGUGUGUAUAUGUAUGCGUAUGUGGGCGCUUACGUGCGCGUUAGAGAGGACGGAGCUCCGUGUAUGUAUGUGUUUGUAUGUGUGAGGGGGGGGGGACGGAAAGGGAACGGGAGUCUAGAGGCACAUAACGCACCGCAAUAGGGCCACACACCCAACCACCUACACACCCGUGCACCUCCGCCCGUGCGGGGCCCCCGCCCCCCCCCCCCCCCCACACACACACACACGCCCGCCCGCCACAGAACUUCCGGGAGGAGAUUUUCGGGACCCCCAAGACGGCUGUCCCCGCAGUUGUCGUACAACCCGUCGUACCGCCAUCGCCAACCGCCACCACCACCUCCAUCGACGGCCUGUCAGCAUCGCCAACGGCUUCCGUGAACAUCCUGUCAAUGUCCGUCGAUGUGCCGUACGAUAAGGCAGCCGCGGGUGUUACGCCAGCGAUACCGGCGGCGCCGGCAGCGGCAGCGGCGGAAGCCGCAGUUUCCGAGCCCGUACUGAGCCCCCUUGAGAAAGGACUGACGAUCCUGAGGGCUUUCAAGCCCGUGUAUUGGCAGGUUAGUUGUGGUUAGUUGGUGGUUCUGUUUAGUUGGUUGGUUGGUUGUGGUGAGAUGGCUCGUGCCAUGAAGGGUGAAUGGGUGAUAGAAGUGGAGGGCGAUGGCGAGCUAGAGGGUACUUGGACCUGUGUGUGUAUUUGGCGAAUGGAUGGGCGAUGACAGCGUAUCUGUCACCUCGCCCCCUCACCCACCCCUUCAUUCCCCCGGCCCCCCCAAAACACACACACACACAGGCUCUGGCGGUGGUAGCAGUGCUCUACUUCGCGCGAUUCGACGCGUCCUUCCUGAGCAUCCGGGCGAAGGCGGUGAGUGAGCCACUUGGGAGCGGGGGAAGGGGGGGAAGAAGGGGGGAAGAAGGGGGGAGCAGGUGGGGCGGAGGGGGGCGGAAGGGGCCGAGCCGGUGAGGGGGAAGGAAGGGCCCGUGUCAGGAAACAAAACCCCAAGCGACGUUAAACAGUGACUAGGCAUCCGAACGAGCCCGACGUGAUAGGAGAGAUGUCGGGAGCCCGUGGUUUAUUGUGGCCCCCUUUACAUGCGAAACGGUCACGUUACGCAGGUAUACAUGCAUACAUACAUAUAUAGAUAUAGAUUGAUACAUACAUACAUAUAUACAUACAUACGUACAUACAUACACCUCGGCCGCAUGCUUACACAACCCUUUCCGGUCCUCCAUGACGGCCAUUGUCGCCGCUGACACACAUCGGCGCUCCGGCGGCAAACCCCUUGUGUCACACCUUAUUAGGUGAUGUCCAAGACGUUGCUACCCAUGAUGACGUUGGUCAACACGCUCAUCCAGGUCUGUUAGGGGAUGUGGGCUGGGUGGGGUUGCGGGGUUUCGGAGCCUGUGAGUUAGCGUGUACGGAUACGUCCCGAUGAGGAAUUUAGGGAGGCUUAAAAUUUCAAGACCUAAAUAAAUGAAACGAAAAGAAACACGACUCGAAAAUGAAAGCCGUUAUGGAACCGAUUUGAAAAUGUAUUUAAAUUCAAAAGUUACGGAGUUUUCCCGCCCGGUCUGUUAGACCGAAGAUGUCAGCUGUGUGUGCGGAGAGGCGAUUUCGUUAGCUUGGGGAUUUUGUUAACCGUUGCAACUGUCCAUUACCUGCCUGUUGCUCGUCCUCCUCCCCACCCCAACCCCAGAUGUUGCUAACCGCCCCCCUGGCCCGCCUUUCCGGGGAGUCGGUUGCCAACCGUAACCGCCUUCUGUUAGUUGGCUUCGCAUGCAUGGUGAUCGCGGAUGCGUGCUUCGCAGCGCCUUUGACGGCAAAUCCGGCUGGUAAGUACCUACCAACGGUUGGCCUGCCAACUGCCGCACAUACAAAACACAUACACGCAUACACGUGGACAUACACAUACACAUCGAAACCCGUGCCCGCCCGCACUCUGCCCCUGCUCAACCCCCCUCCUCCCCGAGGUCGCCGGCGGUCUUUUCCUUUCCCUUGGCCUUUCCUUUCCUUUCCUUUUCCAUCCGUGUUGCGCCACCACGAAAAGACGCUUCCGUCCCGUCCCCUAUCCUGUUCCUUUGUGCCGUACAGGCAUGUUCAUCGGCUCCGCCUUCAUAGGGCUCCACAUGGCGAUGACACAUGCCAUCACCAUCUCCAUGGUUUCGUCGUACAUGCCUACGGGUGUACUGCCCGGCGUGGGCAAAUUGAGUGGUACGGCUGUGUCCUUCACAGACCUCCUGCUAGGUGAGUGUGAGAGUGAGAGUGUGUGUAUGUGUGUGUACACACAUACAUAUGUAUAUAUAUAUGUAUAUGUAUAUAUACAUAUAUAUGUAUAUAUGUAUAUGUAUAUAUAUGGACAGGGGUCCACACCUACCCCGGGUUUGCUGGCAGGUGGUAGGUGUGGCCCCCUGUCCUCUUUGACUUUUUCGGUCCAGCUUGCCCAACCUUCCUUAUUUUGUGGUUGUUGGUUGCAACAGCAAUGCCACACCACGUCGCCCGCCCACCUCGCCUGCUUUCGGCCUGUGAGCCCCUUGCGGUCCUUGCGUUCACUUGGCGUUCUCCCUCCCAGAGCGCCAAACUCGCAUCGCCGCCGUCUGCCGCGAUAUCACCCCAGCUUGCUACGCCCGGCGUGUUGCCUAAACAGGAUUCGUGCUGGCCGCCAGUAAUGCCGUGGCGGGCAUCCUCACGGACGCCACCCGAGCGGCCGGGUUAGGCAACGUGGGCUGCUUCCUUGGUAAGUGCUUUUCCCUUUGGUCUUGUUGAACUGUUCUUCUACGUCCCUUGGUUCGAUGGCCUGUUCCCCCUUCUGACGACAAAAAGACGUGUAAGGGUUUGCCGCUCCGCUUGGGGUUCAUUGUCGUACAAUCAUGUCAUCAAUGUGCCGCAGUGUGGUUGGGCGUUUCCCUAGGUGAAUGCAGCGGUCUAUGCAGCAUACAUUUAUCCACUUGCGCAUUCUCCCACCCCGUCCCCGUCCGCGCACAUUUCCUCUUCCCCUAGGCGGCGCUGGGGCGUGCGUCCUCUCUGGCUUGCUGUUGGUGCUGUUUGAGCGGUUUGGCGAUCUGGGUCGAGAUGAUCUCGUGGCGAAGAAGAAGAAGAAGAACAAGGUAAAAGAGGCGGCGGCGGUGGUGCUGCCGACGACAGUCGCGGAUCCGGCAGCCAAGGCCAAACCAGAGUGAGGAGGGUGAAAGAGCGGAAUGGAGGGGGGAAGGGGAUAUUGUUGCUGGGUUGCUGGAGCCUCUCGGCCUCUCCAGUGCCUCUCGUGAUUUUUUCAUGGGUGAUGGCGGUGGCGGUGGCGGUGAUUGGGGUUGUGUCGAUUAGGGCGAUGUUUAGGGUGGUACGGAGAGGUGGCUUCAUGGCCGAGGGAGGAAACGGUUGAUGGUGGUGACGCGAAGGAGGAGGAGGAGGAGAAGGAGGAGGACUUGUGGGGCUGGAUGGGAGCGUCGGCUUGGGACUCCUUUGAGGAAGGGUAGGGGCUUUUUUUACAAUUGAAGUUGCAGAUUUAAUGUUGCGUGAUUGUUGUUGGCCAUCAGCUGUUCUUUCUUUCUCGCGAAGUAAGAGUUGCUAACAGACUAAGCAUGCAUGCAUAAAUAAGAUAAAGACCGUCCUUGGAACUGUCAGCUAUCGAGAGGAGCGCAACGUCGCUCGAAGUCAUCGGAGUCCGCUCGUUUCAGAGGAGGGCUGAAGGGCAUUUGUUUCAUCCAUCCAGCUGGACACGACUGAUUCGCCGUGGGCCGGUGAUCCGAGAGGAGAGCGAUGCCGUGAUGCGGUGUUGACUAAUACGGCCGCUGAUAGGGGGCAUGACUGGGUAUGGAGCGGAAGUGUUUUGAGUUGGGAAGUAAGUGUUACAGAAGCGGGGCUGUUAGCUACUUUGUCCCGGUUGGGUCGGGAUGCUGGAUCGCGGUUGGUUGUCGGCGCUGAACGGGGUUCUAACCCUUGGCCGGGGUUUCGGAGCCUUACUUAAUACUUGCACCCUGAAAGAUGGUUUUGAUGACAAGCGCUUUGCUACGCCCCCUUUACAACGGAUCCCGGCAUGACGCAUUUCGGCCUGCCUUUCAUUUGCUGCGUGCCACACUUUAGCCACUACCAACCUGCCGCCUACUUGUCUGUUGUCUGUUGUCUGUUUGUCCUUUUGUCUGGAGCCGACGGACCAACGACGGUGUGUGCCCUGAGGAAAGCUUGUCUGGAAUUCUGGAAGAAAUAGAGGCAGGAAGAAAAAAAGUCGCCGGUGCGCUUGGGAACCCCAGGUGCGAUGGACGGAUGUACAGAUACACAGGGACAACGGUGUUGCAACGGCCCAUAGCUAGCUCGAAGCACAAUGACCCCAAAAGGUAACCAUCUCGGCUUACUUUGAAGUGUUGGUGCCAUGAUUUCGUCAUGUCUCACGUAGACACUGAACACACCACCCACACACGCAAUCAACUUGCCCUUCAGAGGAGGACAACGGGACGCGCUUGGUGUGCCUUUUGGUAGUUUUUUACGUGGAAAAGGGCUUCGGGGACGCUUUUAGAAUUGUUUUUUGGCCCUGCAAACGUUGUUUCGGUGUUGGUCGGCAGCUGCCCGCAGCACUAACCGCGUGUGCGUACUCCGGUGCGGCCUCUGGUUAGUGCUGUUGUAGUGCUGUUGUAAGUUGUGGAGGGUGUGCAGUAAUAUCCAGGUUGGCUGGUGUAGGCGGCGGAGGUGGCUAGCUAGCUGGCUGCCCGGCGGACGCGCACAGGGUGACGGACGGACAGGGCCAUUCCCCCUGGGGCAGGGCCCCCUCUCGGCGGUCCUGGAGGGACCCGCCAACGAAAAAGGCCGGCACCCUGAUCCGUCCUCUCUGUCGUCCCCUCCCCAUCCUUUUAUCUGUCAACUUGUUCGCUUGAUUAUGUAAACUUGAAUUGUGAGUUAUUGUGAGUUCCUUGUUCGUCUGUAUGUUUGUUUUGGGUGUGCCUUCUAUGAUGGAUGACCCCGGCUAUUCGGGGGGUUGAUUGUGUGGAAGCGAAAGAGAAGGGAGAGAGACGUGGGGUUGGUGUGCAAACGAUGGGGCCGUGGUCGCCUGCGGGGUUUUAUAACAACGACAGGAAAAAUGUCCGCUGACGAAACCCUGGCAGAACCCCUAUUCCUAUUCCUUCCCCCCUUUCACAGCCGAAGGCGUUCCCUGGCACAAUGGUACCUUCAGUACUGUCCUGCUGCUUGCCCCGUCCCUCCCCUUGCCCUACAAAGGGAUGCCGUUGUCGUUUCUUGCAUGCUGUCAUGUUUUCUCCAUAUGUUAAAGAUGAAUUGCUACCAAUUCCUGGUGAUAGCUGCCCUGCCUUGCCUUCCUCCCAGCUCAUGCUCCACAUGGUCCCGAAUGAGUUAGCCAGUACACCCUGCGCAGUGCAGGGCCCUGUCCAAACACCCAAAUGGCAAGGCCCCUUGAGGGCGAUGAGAACGGGGCAAGUCCUAGGUUUUUGGGGUGCAUCAUCUAUAGGGAUACUGUGCUUCCAUGACUGCAAUGUCAUAGGAUUCUGCCAUCUGACAAAACCAGGAUAUGCGCGGCGACGUUAUGUACUCGUGCCCGCUUCUUUAAUAGUCCGUAUUCGAGUGUAUGUGAUGGCGACCCGGCCGGUGGUGAUAGAGGAUGGAGGAAGAAGUGUGGGACUAUUGGAUGCAGAUGCUGUACAUGUUAUCACGCGUAGUCAAGUGGCAUCUCCCGCAGGCUUUCCCUUUGAGCCUGGGCUGCGCAGACGCGCUUGACUAGAAUCCUCAAAGCGGUCGCUCGCUGUGGCCGCACGAAAAUACCUGUAAGCAUGCUUUUUAGCUCAAGUCGGUUUCAAUGGGAGGAGACAUGCGCAGGUGACCUGGAUAGCUAUGAGCCCGCUAAUCCGGCAGGCAUCUUGAAAACUGUCUCAGGCGUACAAUAUAGCACGACGCGGACGCUGAAUAAAACACAUAAACAGGCAGCAUCGUGCGUGCGUUUGAGUACGCGGAAGGGCAACAGUGCGUUUAUUUACCCCACCAUCCAUAUUAAUGUACUGCUGGAAAGAAGUUGCAGUUUCCGACAGCAUGCACGCUGUAUGCUGGCUUGCAGCAGUGGCGUAAGAAGCAAGGAGCAGGAUAACCGUACCAAGCAACGAAUACCCCCUACUUCCUCAUAAACUAGUAAGACCAUUAUAUUGCCAGAGGCUACUUCCAAAUCGUUAACGGAGUUGGACAUGCACAGGUGCCGUACAAUAUUUCUUCAGUCUCCUUUGGACUCGUGUUCCCUCAGUUCGGGUGUUGUUCAACUUGGCAAUUUGUUGUUACCUUAGCGUUAUCUUCUCCAAAUUAAAUUUAGCUCCUAAGGUUGAGCAUUCCUUUCACGCCGUCGCGCUUGAUCGACACUUGUCCAGGGCGGCCUAUGCCGGCACGUUAAAUAGUUGCAGCAGUACUGGUGGCACAGCUGGCCGGGGAACGGCGCUGUCGGCGCGGCGCGGCUGCCUGUGCGCGCACCAACUUGCACAUUGAGGAGGGGGCGUUCAACGUGGCGCCAUGGCGCGCAGCACGUACGACGACUUUAUUAUCAAGGAGAAGAUCGGUAGUGGCAGCUACGGUGUCGUCUUCAAAGUGAUCCGCAAGGUCGACAAGCAUGUUUACGCGAUGAAGGAAAUCGACCUCCAAGGCAUGUCCCGCAAGGUGUGGCUUGGCCCCUGUUAUUCUAUCUACUUUGUGGCAAACCGGAGAUUAGUCCUUUUCUUGGAGAUGGACGCUUUACUUCGCUUCAUUCGCAUCUUUGCCAGGAGCAAGAAGAGUGCAUCCGGGAAACCCGCGUUCUGUCCUCUCUUGAUUCGGACUAUAUUAUCAGAUACUAUGACUCGUUUUUAGAGAAGGUACGCUCGCUGGAGUGGGGCCAUAGCUCGGGGCCGGCACCGAACAAAAGCUUUUGUGCAGGGCAAGCUCUACAUCAUUACAGAGUACGCGGCGAACGGCAAUUUGCACGACUACAUCAAAAAGCAGAAGUCUUGGUUGAAGGAGGAGUUGAUAUGGAAGCUGUAUAUCCAGGUCCGAUGGUGUGGGUUCGCGGUCCCCAUCCCCUGUUGGGCGGCUCAAACCGGUGUUUUCCCCCUGUAGAUUCUGCUGGGACUCAACCACAUGCACUCCAAGAAGAUUCUCCACCGUGACAUAAAGACUCUGAACGUGUUCCUCGACGAGGACGUGAACGUUAAGCUUGGAGACAUGGGCGUCGCAAAGGUCCGUGGCCGGCCAGUGCACACACCAACCUGUUUUCCCACAUAACCCUAACAUGUAUGGGUUGCCAACACGCAUGCAGAUUCUGAGCACGAACACAAACUUUGCGAAGACGAUAGUGGGCACCCCCUAUUACUUGUCUCCUGAGCUCUGCGAGGAUAAGCCGUACAACGAGAAAUCGGACGUUUGGGCACUGGGAGUGGUGUUGUACGAGUGCUGCACCCAGCGGCACCCCUUCGAUGCAGAUAACCAGGUUAGUGGUGCCUUGUCGUACGGCAUGUGGCACAGGAGUGCAAAGCAGGGCGUAAGGGGGAAUCCGCUUCCAACUGACCGCGAUGGCUCCCAUGAUGACACAGGGGGCGUUGAUACUUAAAAUCCUUCGGGGCAAGUUCCCGCCAGUUACAGGCUACUCACCGGACAUCUCGGAUCUGAUUAAGCGCUGCUUAACACAGGUGAAGUGACGCCCCGAGAAAACAUGCCGUUUCCUUCCAUCUUUACGGUUUUACAUAGAGUCUGAACACGAGCAUAUCUGAAAACGCAGAACGCGAACCGGCGACCAAACACCUUCAAGCUUCUGACUCUGCCCAGCAUCCGGCAAAAAGCGGAGGAGCUCGGGAUCUCGUUGCCGGACCAGGCCACGCUCGCACUCAUGGCGGAUCGAAAUGUCGCUGGAGGGCCUGGCAAGGUAUGGCGCUGGGAUUUUUUGUCGUAGAGAUUAGUUUGCGGUCGUUUCCCCUUUUGGGAUCUAUUUGUGAGCUGGGCGGACAUCUGUUUAGCCGACCUGAUAUCCCCGCCAGCAUUGACUCGUGAAACAUCUCGCGACUUGACCGUUGCAACAAACUAACCGAGAGGCAUUUUCCCAUGGUACCCUUGUGCAUGACCCACAGGCGCGGCCGAAGACUCCUCUAGGUGAAUUGGAUGGGGGACUCUAUAAUUCAUGGAGAAGCAUAACUGCAGUGGAUUUUGAAAGCUUGGACGCAGGGCCCUUGUUUCUGCCUCUGGAUAGUCGAAAGCGUAGCAGGGGAUAUAUAUUUGAAGGAAACCGCUUGCGCCUGGUCAGCGUAUCUUAGUGGAUACGAUGUGGUAAUGUGCAGCAGGUCGGCCAUUGCGUUCCGAUUGCGUCCAUGCAUGUAAGGUUAGCUCGUGACUAUGAGCGCCAAGUGCAGUCAAGUUUUUUCAGCGUUUGCACGUAUGGCGCAUGGACGCCUUACUGCACGGUUGCUCGGUUGGUAGCAUGUGAUAAUCGGCGGCAUUUUCUGCCGGCGCAGGAGACGGGGGAGUACCGGAGGCUGCUGUUGCCUCCGAACCAGGCGAUGCUCUCGCGUCCACCAUCCGCACAAGCGAGGCGGUAGGAACGCGGCCAGUGGACGUGACCGUCACGAAUGUGGAGCGCACGCCAGGGGAGGGUCAGCCGCUUGGGGCGGCGCCGGCGCCCGUCCAAGCCGCGUGGAGCGUAGAGGACACCAAGCCCAAAGCGCAGCGACCACCAGCCUGGGGCCUGGCGCAGCAAAUGGGUGAGCACGCGGACAGCAUGCCGGGUAGUGGAUAUUUGGUAAUUGAGGGAGAGACCGACGGUCUGCUGCGGCACUUAAAAGUGCCGCAAAGCACUUGCAGACUGCGUUGAGCAAAGCACACGGCGUUAAAGGAUAGGGUAGCUUACACUACAGGCAAAAUAUGUGUUGUGGAUGUCUGCCAACAUAACUGACGCGUUACAGAGAUACUAUCUGGCGGCAUAGUGUUAAUGGGGCUCUUAGUAACCUCCUUAGCACAUCUUUUCUGUGCCCCUCAGAGAAUCUCGACGUCGAGGAUGAAGGUGACGACGAAGAUGACAGCAAGAACCCCUACCUGAAUCCCGUUCAAGGGGAUCACGAGGAUGGGGAAGAGGACGAGGACGUAGAGGGUGAAGAGGACGAGGAGUAUUACGAGAAUGGGGACUAUGUGGAGGGUGAGGGCGAAGAGGGAGAUGCAGGGUGGGCGCCCGACCCCACCCGCAUCGCCCACAUGAGGAGCGCAAUGAUGAUUCAGCGCGCAGCUUGCCUGGACCUUGUUGGCGAGAAGGCAUUCAACGAGCUGUAAGUUCGAUAUUUGGACGAGGCUUGGGGAAUGGCCUGGAGGGAGGGGACUUCCCGGUGUGAGCAGGUUGCUUUCCCACAGACCGCCGGCACUCUUUGAGGCUGACUCUUGGCGUCGGGUUGUAGCUUGGUGGAUCUAGCACUUGACUGAGGAGGAAAGGUUGGACACAAUUAACCCUUCUCCUUGUAGAAGAGCCGUCCAUAUUCGUAAGUGCAAUGAUGUUGAUUUUCAUCAGGACAGGGCCGAACCACGAAGGCAUCUAGUUGCACGUUGCGUAUCGCUUGAACAUAGGCACUUUUACCCUUUUCCGUCGUCCAUGCUUUAUGCGGAGACACUGGCAAGUGCUUUGAGAGGUACGGAAUGCGCCUCCUGCUCCUCCCCCUGCACGUGAAAUAACGGUUUGCUUGUUCUUGCACGCCCCUGCUGCAGUUACGCGCUUUUGAAGAGCAACCAGGUGGAUGAGGCCAGCAUGACGGACCUUUCGAGGCUGGUGUUCAAGAUCAUUCCGUACGACAAGUCGGAAGUGAUCCAGAUGAUGUACAAGCUGUUGUACCUGGAGUCGCAGCUGGAGGGGCACUAGGAUGGUGGAGCCAACAGCAGCAGCGGAUUACAGCUGCAUGGCGCAGCAUUGACCGGCAGUAGCGGCGGGGGCGCGCGGCGUGGCAGCUUCCUGAGACCUGUGGGUACACAAGGAGCAAAUGAUGUGACCGGAAGCGUGGGACAGCUAGACUUUAUCCUGGCUGAGUAACUGCAUGUCACAGCUAAAGAUUGCCGUGCGCUGACAGGCGCACGGCCCCUGCGGUGCAGCGUGCCGGUCUUUGUAAUAAACGGCAGCAGCAGCAAGUACGUGUGGGUGGCGGAAAGGCCGCCGGCCGGGGUGUUUGCGGCAGCGGAGCGGUGGCAGCGAAGGAUUGAUGUAGUGCGCACGAGCGCCCGUUCCACACAUGCAAAGCGGCGGGAUGAUGAUAGUGCCAAGUCACGUCAACGUGCACGUCAAGCCCCGGCCCAGCGGUGUGCAGGCCAGGGGAAAAGGAUGUUCCCACAAGAAACAAUCGCUGGACCAGUGGGUGAGGAUAGCUUGUCGCCCGUUUCCCUGGCGCUGUUGGCGUUUGUUUAGAGAGGGCUGCUUGCUCAGGUCGAUAGGUUGAGCGGGGGCUGGCGAACCGCAACGAAGCUACGGCCCUUUCGCGCGCGUCAAUGGACUGGGGCUGGCUGCGUGCUGCUCAUGAUCAGGCACAUGCCCGUGCGUUUCCUCUACGAAAUCGGUACUGGUCCUUAUUCGGAAGUGCCCUGGAUGAUCUUGAGCAGUUUUCAGCCUACCUAAGGAAGUCUUGUGGGUUUCGUGACCUGCAUAUUAUGAUGUCCCUAAUGGCCAACUGCCGUUUUAGGUUUUCAGGGUUUGCUUUGGUUGUUGCCAAAGUUGGCAACGUGCAUAGAGGGGGCGUUCCUUGAGCGCGCUGCGCGCAUGACGAAUUCCAUGGCCCCUUGGCAGCGUAUAUAACUCCCAAUCUACGAGGCCCAGCCGACGAUGGACGCAAGGAUGACGUGUGUUCUCGUGCUCGCCGCUUGCAUGACGGCUGCCUGUUAUGUUCACCCCGCCACCACUGUUUAGUUGUUAUUCGCGCAUUCGUUCAGAGCAGGUCUUACCCAACUAGUAGGAGUCCUGCAGGACCGCGUGAGUGUGGCUUUGGUGGAUUGCGUGUAUUUUGAUUUGGGUCAGGGCUUGGAAAGAUGGCUAGAUUGGAUAAGGGUAUGCAUUCCGUACGAAAUACGGCAUCACGUGACGUCGCGUUGUACUCUGCCGUUAUUGCGAGACGGAGGCGCAGAAACCCUUGCGUUUUCCGGACCUGGCGCUCACGUACGAUUUGGUUUGUGCAGCAGGGCGUUGGGCAGGUAUGCGAUCCGGCGUUUGGGCCGGCCUAGGCACACAUAGGUGGAAAAACAGGGUAUAAAGGUCGGCGGGUGUAUGCUAGGCAAGACACGGUCGACCUCGAUCGGGGCCUGUGCGCAGGCACUGCGGCACUGGCAGGCUGAUGCUUGUCCUUGGAUGACCAACGAUGGUGGUCGUCGUUCCCGUGUUCAUGCUCCGCGUCCCGCUGGUUGGGAUUUUGCCUAAGGCAAAGCUUGAGACUUGGGCCUGGGGCUGCACGCGGGGGUGAUGGAUGCGAAUUGACUUCGUUCCUAGCUUCACAAAUCUUUUUCCUGGGCUGCAAAGGGUGCUGUGCAUCCAGGUACUAAGCCUUAUUCGCACAAUGGUUUGGAUUUGGAAUGCGCCCUGGUUUGGGGGUGCGUUGCAUACCCCAGAUCGCGCAUAUGCCUGCAAGGGACAAGCGAGACGAAGAGAUUUGCGAGGAGGGCUGGAGGAAGGGUGCUGGGCUUGCUUACAUUGCCCUUCUGUACGAGGCCACGAAACGGCGGUUUCUUAACAGUGGAUUGAUUAUGAGGACUGGCUGCGACUCGGAGGAGGAACGUCUGGAUGCCAUAACGACUGCCUUGACAACAGGUGUAUAUUCUUGGGGAUGUGUAAAAUUGGGGGCCCAACGACAGGCAGGAGCGUCCCACUGCCGCCAUGGAGGCCCUACCAUGACCUCACAGGCAUUGCUUUUGCCAGGGUUCUGUUAAAACGGAGCAAGAAAGGUAUAAACAUGAAAGCAAUCCGACAGAUACAGGUAAGCAAAAAACACAAAGAGUCCAUCAGCUCAGGGAUUAGGCGGCAUUCGUAGGGAUUAGGUGUUUUUGCGUAGUUGGAAGCCGCCGAAAAAGUCCCUGCUGAGGAUGCGCUUCAACAUGAGUGUCCGCGUGUUAGUAUCAAGUAGGAGGUAACACGUUCGCUGUUAUCUUGUGGAAUAUAUUUCGUAAGAUUAUUAGACAGGUCACCACAGGCAAGUUGCCUUUGGGCGACCGAUCCGAGACGGAUUAGUCGACGAGAGGACUUGGUGCUGGGAGACGGUGCAAAUGCUUCCACGCCACUCACCACUUUCCUUCCCCUUUGUAUCGCCUUGCACCGCCCCUUCUCGACACCAAGCAUGGUGGGCAACCUCACACUAUAUCAGAGAGUUUACAAGGCGUCCUCGCUGGAGCAGCGUGAAUAAUAGUGGAAACAGGGUUGGCCGCUCACAAAAAGCAGUUGGCGUACGGGGAGGAACCCAAAAUUUUUGGCACACGGGAGAUGCUGUCGUAACGGACUUCUUCACUUUUCCUAAAUCAUGGUCGCAUGUGCAUACCUUGAAGGAUAACCGUUGUGGGGAUGGAUGGAUAGUUACAACGCUUCACGAGCUUGUACAGUCCACACGAACCCUGUAACAAAGCUCGGCAGUUGGCGAAGCAGUUGCGAAGAUAUUUAUCCAACGAUAAAAGGUGGUAUUGAGAAAUACCGUAUGGUAUUGAAGGACUAUUCAUAGUUCUUGGAUGUACCGCUGGUACGAUAAACGUUAACCCGGUGAGCCAAGGGCCGCCUUAGCGGCGUUACAAACCCGGUGUGGGGCGACGCAUGUUGCUGGCCAGUACGGCCAGUACAUGCCACGUCUUGUCUUGUGCCAACGGUUAAGCUUAAGGUGGCUUGGGACAAAUGCUUAACCCUAAAUAAGGAAGCAACUGCAAAACAAAGAAGUCUGUUUGCUGUUGUCUUGUAGACUCACGGUUCCGUCCCUACUUUUGAUAUUUCCUUUUGGGAUGUGCGACGCACCAGCGUGCAAGCCCACAUCCAAGUCCGAUGGCUUUCCUUCGAGUAUCUUUGUGUCGGAUAAAGCUGAAGUCCACGAUGUGCCGGUGAGCGUCAUACGUCGUCCGCUCAUAUCUACCGUCGAUCGUGCAAAAGUGGAUGACUUCAAGCAAAAAAUACAGGUAUGCGCAUUCCAGGUACAAGGGCAUGGUUCGAAGGGACUUGGGCUUGGUUAGGUUGUGGCUUGGUCAUGGCAUGGUGGGAUGCGCCACCGGUAUUCCUUGAAUAAGGAAAGGUGCCGACUUACAUCUCUGAACAUCCUAAGGCUGACAUGGGAAAUCGUAGCUUGUGUUCAGCUUCUACGUUAUGAGGCUUGCGCUUAUGGACUUACUAACGUUUACUGUACGGAAACCAUCGUCGCACAGCCUUGAAGAGGACGCUCUUACGGCCGUCCAAACUGCAUACUCAGCAAGCUUCCGGCAAGGCAUUAUGCUGCAUAUCCUUGAGUAUGUGAACCUGAAAGCAUGCAUUCCGGCUCUGAGUCAUCCUUGGCACAGGAUGGCGUGGUGCUCACCCCAAUUGAGGUAGCCUGGGUGGAGAGACCGGAGGGCUCGUACUAUUUUGCAUUUGGAGGCUGCCACCGUUGGGCUGCCCACAUAGAGGUACGCGAUGCUCUUUGUCCUGCCUUACUGGCCUGGACAUCACAACCCACGUCACCCGACUCCCUUGUCGCGACCUGGGUCACAACCCAAGUGGCAAACUGGAGCAACCGCGACCUCGUGGGCCAGGAAAACAUUACAUGGGUUGAAAGGGAUGACGUCUGCGGGCAGUGCUAAUGCGAGCUAACUCUCUUGCGAUGUUUUCACAACACGGUACACACGUUGGGAUUGAGGUUUGCGAAGGACAAGGACGGUGUGUGGCCGCUAAGAGAAUUUUGUCAUAUUAAAUAAAUGAGUGAACGAGGGGAGGUAGGCUGUUACAGGGAAUCGUCAGUGGUAUUAUUGGCUUUGUGAUCUUUGACCUGGCUCGUUCUCCUAGGACCUGUUUACCACUUCUCCUGCACAAAUGACAACGUAUGUCUGUGUGUUUUACGCGCUUUCCCGUCACAUCCCGCUCUCCCCUAUUUCCCCUGCGGGUUGCCUGACGACAGCUCGGCAGUGCGACCAUCCCAGCUCGACUCAUUAAAGUGUCACCGGCAACCAUCAACACCUUCCUGGGAUCAUCAAGCCCGUUCCGGAGCCUAGGUUGAUGGGAUGGGAUGGAAAUGUGCCUACCGCCUGGGGAAGCCGGAAGACAACCUGAGAACCGAUGACCAUAGAAUCAAAAUCAAACCAUAAAAUCAAAAAAAAAAGAGGUUUGGUGGCGUCUCGCGGUUGAUGGGGUGACUAUGUUAGGAAAUUCCCAUCUUAGGAUGUCGAGCCCAACGAUAUGUGGUUGUGGAGGUUAUCCAAUAGGUUCAGUGGGAGGUGUAUCCCCUCGCUAUCAUCAUUUCUGGGCCUGUCCGGUGGCACAGGCAGUAGCAGAUCAACUUACUCUUUCAAUAGGAGUGCCAGUCUCAAGGGAGCAACUUUGGCUUAUCCAAGCCCCACAAUCAGUGCAACAAUGUGUUUGGGAUGUUGUGGCUCUUGCUGCGGUGUCAGCCAUGGAGCAUGGGAGACGUUAUAUGGCUGCAAACAUGAAAACCAACCCGGCACUGUUACCUGGCCCUUCCCUUACGGAAGAAGCAAUUUGUCGAGUUAUUGUUGACUUUUGGGGCCGCAUUCAGGGUUUCGCAGCUUUGGGAAUUCCACGGAAAGGUUGGGAUUCCGUUGGCGCACAUCACCCCUUCUUGAGAAUUAUAUCUGGCAAAUUGCUGUGCUCGCGAGAGCGGUUACCGAUGAUAGGUUAAUUAUCUGAGGUGAUAAUCUUUUGGUAUAUUAGUCUCUACUGCAGUGCACGGCCAGCUGGCCCGAUGGCUCUACUCUUCGGGAGUCUGGAGCCCACUGUAACAACACACACAUAGAAUCGAUCCCAAAUUGGAAACUAUGACAAACCCAUUCCGGAACUUAGGUUUUCCGAAACUUAGGUUGACUUGAUGACGUAUGCGAGGGAAUGACCAGUUCUGGAGGUAUUGGCCGUCGCUUAGGGCAGCAGCAGCAGCAGCAGUAUCUCCGUGCGACUCGCAACAUGAGUCCCUUUACCACGACGAAACUACGUUUUGAUGUUUUACAGUACUGUAUGGAAAAAAGGCCGUACUGUUCUGGCAUCUGGUGUUUGCAGGUGACGUAUGUUUGCGUGCGCUGUGUGCCGUAGCCGAUUUGGUGCGGCGCGGCGGUGUGGUGGUGCAGAUGUAAUUGGGGCGCAACUGCGUGUGUGUGCGUGUGUGUGUGUGUGUGUCUGUGUGUUAGAUAAGGAUUGCUUGCAUCAUCGAAUGUGUAUAUGUACACUUUAGCAUGUUCAUGCACAUACAGGUUGAGAACAUGCAGUUUGGGAGGGAGUAGUCCAUUUAAAUUGUGUUUAUUCCUGCCGCCAAGCUGAGAUGGAGGUUAGGUACGUACAGGACGAGGAAAAUGCGGUUGAUGGGGCGAACACAGCUUUGUCACCCCCGUGUUCGCUCUGCAUUAAUUUAGCGUAAAUGGCGUCUGUUGUUGUUGUUGUUGUUGUUAUUGUUGUGCGUGAGCAAAGGCUAUAUGCAUCUGACCGGGCCUGGCACUGGCCAGGGACUGCUGCCCACCCCCAACGGAAUGACCGCCUAAGCUCUCUCCCGCGGACGGAAGAGGGCCCGAGGGGCCUCUGCCCCCUCCUAAGCAGCCGAGAGCCGCAGGUCCGCUAGCUUCGCUCUCCUCUCCCGGAGGUGGGAGGCGUCGCACGCGCGCACGUUCUCACGAGUCAAGGCUCCGUCACGCGAGUUUGCGUUCACUGAGCCUGAAACACGAAACAAGACUCCCCUCUCCCUCCCCGGCCUGAUCCGGCCCUUGGGGGGGGGGAGAUCCACUAAGACAGAGGAAACCCGGAAGCCCUUUAUAGACCCUGCCCCUCCCUAUUAAGGCACGAGGCCCUAUUAGAAAUCUGGGUCUCUUACCCGUUGCGGGGGAUUCUCCGUUGCGGGGGCGCUAAACACCUCUCGAGCGCACGCGACGAGGGGCAGGCACGUGUGUGUGUGUGUGUGUGUGUGUGCCCCGAAACCGACAAGCAAAUGAUAGCUUGUGCGUGUGCAUACAACUAUGUACGAUAUGGUUGCGACCUCGCGAGCACAUUGGGUUGGUAGCCUAUGUAAAAAGGCGGUCUUCGGUCAUGUUCGACGGAUUUUCCCGCCACAAAGUAGUUUGCGAAUAGUUUGUACGUCACUUACUUGAUGUGCACAUGUGAGCAUGUUUUACCCUUACGCAACAAAUUCUGCACCUUAAUAUCGAGUUAUCACAAAGGUCGAGUUGUUACCGGUUCGAGAAGUCCGAUAUCAUGUCUCAUCACAUGAUAUAUACCACACUGCUUUUCAUUACCACUAAAGUCGAGACCCAGCGCUCCCUGCCGGUGCCCGAUGGUUUCCCCCUCGGCCUUCCUCGCACAGCUGCAGAUGCCCCCAGUCGCAGCACUCUGCACAACCGGGCAGCGUGUAUUCCCCCCCUCGGUCUUCCAUUUCCCGCCCAGUGCAAUCCGUACUUGCAUUUCACGGCACAUUCCCCCCUUCCCACCCCCACCAUCAUUUCCGUGAGGACAUCCCACGCAUAACGCACGCGAAGUGAACACCACAUACCUUCUCCGAAACCAAAACUCGCACUCCAGGAAAGACCUCCGCGCGGCUGCACCUCUCCUCACACACACAUGCACCGCCAUGCAUACGCCAUUGCGGACCGUUUGAAAACCAUCACCCCGCCCCAGCCUCGCCACGUCCAAAAAAAGUUUGUAGUAAACAGCGCCUUUCCAAAAUUGAGAACAUUAUCACUGUAGCGUAUCCCGGAGCAUUCCUUCCCUUAACAGUCUCCCCAAGUUUGGAGGACUUCCCAGCAUGCAAAACAAAACAGAUCAAAACAAAGCGAAGCGAAGCAAGCGCGCCCUCACGGCUCGUUUAAAACGUUUUGACCACGCGCCCCAAGAUCCUCAACCCACCACACCCCACGCCACGCGCCGGGGCGUUGGCAGUUGGCCCUUCGCUGCUUGCUUGUGUGUUUCGCACCCCACCCCACGCACCCACCGCACCCACCGUCUUAAUCGACCUUAAUUACUCCUCGACGUGCUUCUUGCUGCAGAAGAGCGAGCGAGCAGCUGUGGACAAUAUAUUUUACCCUUUCAAAAGCAAUUUUUUCCAUCGUUUUUACCAUCCUGUCGAUCUCUUUACACCCACAUCCAUAUUCAGAGUUUCCAGACAGACAACCAUUCACAUACGCGCACGUACACCGACAUACUCAAUCAAAACGCACCGACACGCAUCCACACCCACGCACCCUGUUGACCAACGCUGCUGCAGGGCCACCGGCUCCUAGCACACCCAGCCACCCAACCACCCGCGCAGCUAGUAAACCAUUCAAGCGGACGAUGAUGGGCGGGGGGGUGACGUGGCAGGUAGUGGAAACUGCUAAGGGCCGCCUACAGCCACACACAUACAUACACACAUACACACACACUACCCUUCGACACUUGGAAACAUGAAACCGGCUUCCCAACACCCACCAGCGCUGCCAGACAAUCGAAACAAGUAAGCAAAACAGGCAAACAAAUAAACAAGCAUCGUUUUGCUUUGAUGCCAUCAUCUGUGGUGUACAAGCGAACAGACAAAUACGCCGACGGAUCUAACAAAACACACAGAAUGGUGGAAAUGAGCGUUAUAGUCCCCAGGGCCGUUCACAGGUUUGGAUUCUUUUUCCGGGCCUUGUCUUCACCCUUUUUUAGCUUGCAGGCCCCGGCCCGAGCCUUCCCCCACUCUGCGGGUGCUUUGCUUUCUCACGCUCUACGUAUCUCUCCUCAUCCCACUUGCAUAUACCCCUAGGCGGGGACCCUCAUAUGGCCCGGUCGCAACUCCCUCCCCCCGAUUCCCCCCCGGCCACUAAUUGCUCGCGGCCACCAGGUUCACGCGGAUCACUGCGCCGCCGGGCUCCAUGGACACGCCCGCCUGCCGUACAUCGUUGUACCUGUCAGAUGUACGUGUCGCCGCGGGCCGGGUGCCGCCACAUACGGCCAGGGUGGGAUCAGUCGAGGCAUGGAAGGGAAUGGGAGUUGGGGAUUCGGGACUCGCAAAGACGCAACCAACCAACCAACCAACCAGCCAACUAGGCUCCCUAUCGGCUAUGUGUUUUUUCCCAGCCUUGCCUUCCUCUUAUGCGCUAUGCCCUCCCUCCCCUCCUCGUCUCCCACCUACCUGCAGCUUCCCUCCCUCCCUCGGCCCUUCCCCACCAGACCCCCACCUUGACAGCGUCUUCUGCAGACCCGUGAUCCAGUAGUUGAAGUGGUUGGGUCUCCGGUGCUUCUUAUACUUGACGAUGCGAGCCUGCGGGGCGAAGGGAAGACGGAUCGAGAGUGGGCCGGACGGGGCGGCCAGCAGCAAUAUACUUUACCAUACUCUCAGCGAUUUAAACCGCCUGCUAACCUCUUAUUUCUGCUUUACUGCUUGCUUGCGCUAGGGAGAAAAUAAUGAAAAAAGGACGAGAGAAAGGACGAGAGAAAGGACGAGAGAAAGGAAGGAAGGAAGAAUGGAACAAGAUGAUCUGAGCUGGGCUGCAGUAUGGGUGGAUGCGCAUGUUGCCUUUUCCUGUGCGGAGGAGCAGGGAGGUGGCGAAGGGAGGUGUGUGCCAAGGGGGGACCCCCACCACCACCUCAUCUGGGGCAGUGUGUGGUCCCAACCACCUCACCUGGAUGCUCUCCCCUACAACAUCCGCGUUGAUGACCACCUUGGUGUGUACGGAAACGGGAAACUGCCGAAGAGGGGGGGGGCGGUGGGGGGAGGGGGGUAUAGGGAUUAGAAAGUGAAGGUAGCCGGCGCUGGGGGGCCCUGUGCAGGUACAUGGUGACCUGGGAGUUAUCAAGCUGCCUGGCAUGUCACAUGCAGAACCCCAUACAUCCCCACAACACCCGUACAAACACACACAACACCCGUACACACACACACAACACCCGUACACACACACACACACAACACCCGUACACACACACAACACCCGUACACACACACAACACCCGUACACACGGCGCUGACCUCAACAUGGGCAAAAUGGCUGUUGAUCAGAUUCAGAGGUACGUGGAUACGGCCGUCGUACAGUCGAGGAUACUGAUGGUUACCUGCGACAGGCCGGCGGCAACACAGCAACGGACCGGCCACCGGUUGGGUACGCCGGGCAGGUGGAGUGAAAACACACCGCAAACAGCCCCCGGGGGGCAGGGGGGAAGGAGGGGGAAAGGAGGGGAGGCAUCGCCUUCUCGCACACCUCCUAGCAUCUCUCUGUGCUUGGAGGUCAGAAGGGGCUGGAAGAGGAGCCGAAGAGAUUGAGACCAAGCAGGGGGCUUUCAGCGAGGUGAAGGUGAAGGUGAAGGUGAAGAUGAAACACACACAAACACAUAAACACACACGUAUGCCGAGCUGGACCGCCAGCUCUGGGGCAACGGCUGCGGGGGUGCAUCCCUAUUAUGUCUGUCUGUCUGUCUGUCUGUCUGUCUGUCUGUCUAUCUUAUCUGUCUGUCUGUAUGCAUGUAUUUAUUAGUGCACCUAAAGAUGUGGCUACCUGACGAGGCGGCCCCCCUCGCCCCCGACACCCACCCGUCGCACUGCUCAAGGUGGUGGGCGGCUGCACGACGGGAGCGCCUCGGGGCAGACCCAACAGACCCAUGGGACUCCCCGCAGCGAAUAGCGUCUGUACAAAGAGGCAAACAGUUUACGGCGGGGUAUCAGUCACAGCUUCAGUGAAUAUCAAUAUAUCAAAUCAAUAAAUAUCAUUUUUUAUCAGCAGGUAUGUAAAACAGAAAGAGGGGGCCAAGAAACGCAAUGGCAGCACGUCUCAUGCUUUGUCAACGACGGCAGAUCUGUUGUCUUUACUUUAAGAAGGCGCGCGCGUAUUUCUUGCAGUUAGGAAAUCCGUUAGUGUUUGGGGGGGGGGGUUCCCAAGAUGCAACAAGCACGGCAGGAUGAACGCGUUAGGCUCCCCCCCGGUUUCUUUCUCCGUAUCUCGUCCUCGUCGUGCCAUAAGCAACGAUACGGUUUAAACUUUUCGAACGAGGAUAAGAAACUCCACAAAGGGAAGGGCUGCGGAGGCCCCACCAGGUGAUCGCAGUGCCGGAGGCUUUGGACAGGUGCUUAGACCGCAUCAGCAGGUCGGCGCCACCGGAAAGAGCAAAAGGGAAGGUGAACCUCCCUCCCUCCCUCCCUAGCCUGCGCCUCUCUUCACCCACCCACUCAACCACCCAUCCACCCAUAUAUAAACCCCUCCGCUCGCCCACCCAAACCAGAAACCCACGCCACACACACACACACACACACACACACACACACACACACCUGGAAAGCGUCCAUGCUCCACUGCCCGUUAGCGGCCGCCGCCGCCGCCAGCAGGUCCCCACUGAGGCCGCCUGGCCCCGCCGCCGCCAUCAUGCCAGGCGGCAGCAGCGCUGUCAGGGGGCCCAUGUGCCCAGCGGCAGCGGCCGCUGCUGCAGCCGCCGCAGCGGCAGCGGCCGCCGCCUGCUGGCCAUCCUGCUGCGAACCCGCCUGGCCACCGCCCUGCAUCAGCGGAAGCAGGAAGUUGGGCGGCACAGGUGCGCCCCCGCCCGGCGGUGCCGCCGCCAGAGCGAAAGGUAGGGCCCCGGCAGCGCCGGGAUGCGUACCAGCGGAUUGUUGUUGUUGCCCAUGAGCCGAUCCUGCCGCUGCUGUUGCUGCCGUACCGCUGGUGAGCGAGGCGAUGAUGGGUAAACCCGUGUGACCGUGUGCAGCGGCGCCGUAGUGCCCGUGCUGAGGCUGCAGCCCGGAGGGACCCACCAUCAAGCUGUGCAUCACAGCCAGCGCGUUGUCGACGGAGGCGGAGGUCGAGGAAGCGGCAGCCGCGGCAGCAGCGGCGUUGGCCGCUGCGGCGACGGAGCCGUCGCCGCCGCCGCCGCCGCCGCCAGGGGCCGACCCGCCGGCUGCGGCGACGGAGCCGUCAUCCGCUGCCGCCGCUGCCGGUGCUGCACCGUUCUGCUCGUCUGUCGGCUGGUGAGGAUGUUGGGAAGGCUGUUGCUGCUGCUGCUGAUGGGGAUGGGGAUGUUGCGGCUGUGGCUGUAGCAGCGUGUGUGGGUAGAGGUUGGCGUGGGACAGUAACACGUGUUGGAGCGGGCCGGGGGCCAGGGGUAACUGGCUCCAAGACAGGCCCUCCGGAGGCUGCUGCUGCUGCUGCUGCUGCUGCGACGGCUGUUGCGGCGGCGACUGUUCCUGCUGACUCUGCUCCUGAGCAGCAGCAGCCGCUACAGUGCCGUCGUCCUGAGGUGUUGUAUGCGCAUGCGACGCCGCCCGGACCCCACCGCCUUCCGCCGGGUCGGUAGCGGCACCGCCGACCUCGUCGCCGGCCGACGCCAGCGGCGCGUCGGCAGCCUGACCAGUGUCCUGCAGACCCAGCGCCGCGGUCAGGCUCCCAGCUUCAAGUGUAUCGUAGUUCGACUGGUGCUGCUGGUGCUGGUGCUGCUGGUGCUGCCCUUCUAGGUGCUGAUGUUGUUGGGGGCCCCCAGCCGUCGCCUCCGGACCUGCCGUACCCCCAACCGGACCCACCUCGCCGCCCGAACCGGCUUGGACGCCGUCGCCGUCGCCGGCAACGGCGCCGCCGCCCCCGCAUGAGGUGUCCGUCGGUGCCGUUGCUGCGGCCGCGGCGGCUUCGUCCGCCGCUGCAUCAACCGUCGGCUCUUGCUGCUGCUGCGACGGCGACGCCGCGUGUUGCUGCUGUACGGCAUGCGGUACACCCAUAGAAUGUGAUAACACGAGGGCGCCACCGCCGGCGGCACCUGGGCCGGCGGCAGCUCCGGAACCGCUUCCAAGGGCCGGUGCCGUACCUGCCCCGGCGCCGCCAAGCAUGGCUAGGAAGGUGUUGGGAUUGGCGGCGCCAGGCGCUGCCGCCGGUACGACUUGCAGCGGGCUGGGGCCGCCGGCGCCGCCGCCGUGAUGCAACAUACCCAGGCCCACCAUGGCCGCGUGCGGGGCCAUAAGCGGGUUGUGGCCGGUGGUGGCGGAUGCCGCAGCGGCGGCCGCUGCAGCCGCAGCUUGCAUGGCUAGUAAGGCGCUCAGCUGUUCAAACCCUGUCGUUGCGGCACUGCUGCCAUCUGGCUUCAUGAAGAAUCCUGGCAGGGGUCGGGGGGGGGAGGGGGUUGUGUGUGUGUGUGUGUGUGUGUGUGUGCGUGUGUGUGCGGGAGGGGGGUUGUACAUGGGAAGAGAGGGGGGCAAGGGAGUUGUGGCGGCCUGGCCCUGUGGCCCUGUUACAACUAAGAGCUAAGAGGAAGAACCCAACCCCACUCGAGGAGGAGCACGCGUGCACAGAAGCGCUCCCCUCGGUCAUCACACCGUGUGUGUGUGCGUGUAUGUGUGUGUGCGCGCGUGUGUGUGUGUGUGUUGUGUGUGUGGAGUGGCGGGGGGAGGAAGGGCAUUCUCGCAUUCCCCCACCUCACACCGCACACCCACCGCACACCCACCCACCUGUGUUGUAAGCGCCCGGCGGCAGCGCGGCCAGCAGCGCCGGGUGCGGUAGGCCGGGAAUGGCGCCCAUCCCUCCCGCGACCGCAUGGCCCAGCCCGGCAGGCUGUAGCUGUGAAGGCUGCAGCGCCGUGUGAUGAAUCGGGUGCUGCUGCGCCGCAUUGUGAUGGGUGUGGUGGUGGUGCGGCGGUUGCUGCUGCUGCUGUUGUUGCUGCUGCUGGUGCUGCGAAGACGAGGAGGCUGCCUGCUGGCCGGCGGCGUCGUCCCACACGCCGCUGGCCGAUAACAUGAUCUUGAGGCGGUUGUGGUCAACUAACUCCAGGCCCGUCAGUCGUACGUCCUGUGGAGGAAGGAGUUAACAGAAAAGUGGUUAAAACGGAGGAAGAACGUGUGGGUGAUGGUGAUGAGGGGGGGUAUAAUGGAAGUCAUAUGCAUCCAUUUUUGAAUAAAAAAAGAACUCAACUGCCGACGGCCUGGGAAAAUGUAUGUAUGUAUGCAUGGGUAUGUAUGCAUGCAUGGGUUGCGUAGAGGUUCGCGGCAGCGCCGUCUACCCCACCCCACCCCACAUCACAUCACUGCUGUGUCCUUGCUCAUCAUCACAAUUUUCCAGCAACCACAUUCAAAUCACAACAUUCAAAACACAAAAGGGUCACGCAACACGAAAACACAAAGAUAACGUCCCCUCCCUCCCAAAAAGGAACUCUCCCCGCGCCCGGACCUUGUAGUGCUUGAUUAGGCGCUGGUGCCCGGUGACCCAGUGGUUGCCCAGACCGUGGCGACGUGUCUUGUUUUGGCUACGUGCAAUUUUGACCUGCGCAGCAUGACGCGUGUCGCGGGCUGUCAGCUUCUACCGGCUGUUCCUUUCACCCACCACUACGAGGCGCGAGGUUAGCUGCCCAGGGUGGGGGUGGGGGUGGGGUGGGGGAGUGCGGGGGACUCCCAGUUUUUAGGGUUCUUUAGGAUUUCGGGGCGGCCGAGGAUUAAUCUCCCGAGGAAGCCAUCCGGACGCGAGGCACAGCAGGUCAGCGCCACCUUCGCUGUGUUUGCCGUACUGGACGAGCUGCGGCCUCAGCUCUUGCAUCAUCAUCAUCAUCAUCAACAACAUCAUCAACAUCAUCAAAAACAACAGCAACAGGAGGAGCGGCAAUGGCAACAACAACGGUGAAGAGAAUGGAAAAAUGCUCGCAAUUGAAAGAGGAAACGUAACGGCAGGAAAACAACAAUUCGCCGUCCUCUUAGCCCUCAUUCCCAAAACCUCUGCACGGGUUGCCUCCUCCAUUCCCUCCCCCCCUCCCUCCCUUCCCAGCUCCCAGCAGCUCACCACAAAGCCCUCGUUAAUCAUCUCCCCAUUCACGAUAAUGUCCGCGGGGAGCCGCAGCGGGAACUGCUGCUCUGCGAAGUUCUUGUGCACGAAGGGCAACGGCACGUAGAUGCGGCCGUCUGCCAGCUUCAUCCCCUCAUCGAACGUCACCUUCAUGGCGGGCUCGUAGAAGCGCCUGCACUGCGCGGGCGCGCGCUGCUGCUGCCGGUCACGUGGCUGUGGGGAAUGGGGAGGACGAGAGGGAGAGGGAGGAGCUUUAGAGGGGGAGGAGGAGGAGGAGGACAAAACACCGAGGAACCGGCAGCGUGUCUGUAUGUGUGUAUCUGCGUGUGUGGGUCUGUAUGUAUGUGUGUACGGGCGUGUGUGCAUGGAUAGGUAGGUAUGCUUCAACUUGAAGCACGCCCUGUUCGGAACACAAACCCCAAACAUCACUUCGGCCACUUAGGUUAUGUUGGGUGAGGGGGGGGGGUUUAUGACACUACCCCCAAUCUGAAAGGGUAGUUACCGAUACAUACAUACAUACAUACUUACACGCAGCUUGCCUCUCUCGCUCACCUCCUUUCGCCGCGUCUCGUCGUCGCUCAUGUCGUCAUCGUAGCCCUCAGAAUCCGCGCCCGCUCCGCCGCCGCGUCGUCGCCCGCCGCCCCCGCCGCGUCUCCUUCCCCCGCCCGCCACCCCAGCCACAGCAGCCAUCGCAGCAGCAGCGAAUGCGCCGGACUCGACGCCGAGUGCCCCGCCGCCGCCGCCGCCGCUGCCGCCACCGCUUCCAAGGCUCAUGGGCCCGCCUGGUGCCAUAAGCCCCUCCGCGGCGGCCGUCAUCGCCGCCAUGGCCGCGGCCAGCGGCUGCCCCCCGCCCGCCGUCGCCGCCAUCAGCAGCUCACUGAGCUGAGUGUGGCUGCUGCCCUGCGAAUUGCCCCCGCCCUGCGACAUUCCCAAGGACGCUGCAGUGGCCUCGUGGUUAGCUAAUGCCGCCUGAAUGAGCGAUGCCACCAUCAUCGGCUCGCCGGCAAGAGCCUCCAUGCCGGGCAGGGACAUGACGCUGCUGCCGCCGCUUGCGGCAGCGGCGCCGCCGCUAGGCAGUGGCGGUAAAGUCGCCGUCGCCUGAAGCGCUGGCGGCGGCGGCAAAUGAUGAUGGUGCGGAUGUUGAACCAGGUCGCCGGCGGCGGUGGAGCCUUGCGACGGCGGCGCCAGGGACACGGCGAGGCCCGACGGGGAGGACGUCGCGGCAGCGGUGGCGGCGGCGGCGCCGUGCUGCAUGGGGGCUCCAUCCUCGCCGCCGGCCGGAACGGCAAGGGACGCGUCGGGUAGCGGGGCGUGCAUGAGGCCACCUUGCAAUGAUGCGGAUUGGUGAGGAAGACCCGGCGCCGCUGCCGCCGAGUGAUGCUGGUGGUGGUUGUUGUCAAGGCUCGCCACGACCCCAGACAUGAGCGCCGCCAACUCUACGGCAGUAUCCAGCGACAGGCCGGGCAGUGCCAGCGGCGGCGGCGGCGUCGCAGCCGUCGCCGCUGGUUCCGGCGACACCGCACCUGGCACAGCCGCCGCCGCCGCUGCUGCUGCGGCAGCAGCAGCAGCGACCGCAGCAGCGUCGCCGCUAGACCCUGCUGCCAUGGCGGCCGACUGCGGCGGCGCCAGCGGCGCGGUCAAGCCGCUGGCGGGGGCGAAUGCCAUUCCAGCGCUACCAAGCCCGGCGGGCAGCAAGCCUGGCUGUAGCGUUGGCAGCAGCAGCGACGGGUCUCCCUGAAGGUGCGGCUGCAGCACUACAACCAGCGACUGCGGGGGCUGUAGCUGCUCCUCAGCUGUGAGAAGCUCCGCUCCGGAGCUGUCAAGCAUAGUACUAUCAGCGCCUCCGCCUCCGCCAGGCGCCUCCUCCAUCCGUUCCGCGGAGCCGUCGUCGCCGCCGUCGGCCAGCGCCGCCGGCUCGUGCCCCGGCCGCGAGCCGGAGGUCCCGCCGGGCUGCUGAGACGCCUGCCGCUGGGUCGCGAUGUGCGGCGGCAGCGGCCGCCGGGAGCGCGGCUUCGUGGGAAUGGGCCCCGCCGCCACCGCCACCUGCGCCAGCUGAGGGUGCUGCUGCUGCUGCGGCGGCGGCGGCUGUUGCAGCGGUUGGGGGGCCCCCACCGCUGAGCCGCCGCCUGCUGGCUGUGCUUGAGGUGGCGUUCCCAAGGGCGCGAAGGUCAGCGGCGUCGGCUGCACGUAAGCCCCGGUCGCUGCCGCCACCGCUUGGCGAGGAGACUCUGACCCACCGCCACUAACGGGUGCAGCAGCCGUAAGACUGGCAGACGCACCAGAGGAUGUGGCGGCCGGCGGGGCGCCGCCGCCGGUACUUCGUCCUGCCCGCCCGGACGCACCCGGCGAACUCGCCGAUACGGCUGCAGCAACAGGGUUGGCUCCGGAACCGCCGCUCGUUCCCAACCCCGCUGGGCCGCCGCCGGCGGUGGCCGUGCCGGUCCCGGCGCCAGCCAGCGGCGGCAGGCCCCGUACAGGUCCCGUGGCGGCGGCGGCGGCGGCAGGUCCGCCGUGAGCUGCCGCCGCCGAAGGGCCGCUGGAUACGGCUGUCCGGAGCCUGGGAGAUGCUGCGGCGGCAGCUAACGUGCCUCCCGCCACUGGAGCCGCCACCGCCGCUGGGAUGGCGGUCAGCUGCAGCUGAUCCCCACUUUCUAACGGAGCGAUGAGGACUGCCGUACUCCCUACGACGCCGACGCCGCUGCCGACGGGCUGCUCCACGUUGGCCUGAGCCAGCGCGGCCGCUGCCAGCACGUCCAGGUUUCGGAGCGGAUCGAACUGCAUUGCCGUUCAACGGGAGGAUAGUUUGGGAUGUCCAGGAAACACGAAACGGAAAACAGAGAAAUAUUGAUUUUGGAGCCGGAUUAACAAAAGAAGCUAUAAUAAGAAGCUACAAGCCUGGGAAAGGUCCCGCAGUAGCAGCAGCAGCGGCGGCAGCAGCACAUAUUAGCGUAGAAACACAUUCACAUACAUACACACAGACACUCUGCACGAUGUGGCGUGGGUGAAGACGCGGCUUUCGAAUGACGGCUUGGGGGCCCCUCGUACGGACCGGCAGACAGCCGGGCCUACGCUGGUUUAAUAGUGGACCUAGGACGGAACAUUUUCUUGAAUGGUUUCGGAGCGUGCCUGAAGAAAGUCAUACGUUUCCUUUUCGAUGCCGGUGGCCUCCUCACUGACUUGUCGCUGCAGCUGCUACUGCCGUCAUCGCCACGCGAUGCGCAUAAUUGCAAAGAGUGUAUCAGUAGCAUUGGAUAACAGCCAAUCCAUUAGGUUGGCCUCGUUGCUAUUGCGAUAAUGCCGCAGGUUGUUGGUUUCGGAGCGGCUGUUUGCCUUAUUUGGCUGUUUGCCUUAUCUGCUGCUGCGCAUGUCGCCCAAAAGUAGGUAAUUCGGGGUUGGGUUUAUAGAGUUGCAAUGGCAAUGCAUUGAACCAACAUGGCUUGGUCUGAACCAGCGACGCGUCUUCACCGCCGCAGGGCGACCCUAAAGACCUACCAAGUGAAACUGCCGCAGCAUUCGCGCACACAGCAAGUAAAACACUUAAUCCACAACCGGUACGAUAUUAAGCAAAAAUACAAUAGUUCCAGUAACCUGAUGUGCAUGGCGACGAAACUUACAUAUGAGCUGCAAAAAGCGCUCCGAAACCCGUAACAAAGCACGCACCAAGCGCGCAACGGCACUAAAUCCAAUCCCAAACUAGCAAAGAAAGCCCUCGACGCGAAACUCGCCAAUUGAGCUGAGGAAACAGAUGUGGGGUCUGCACCCUAAGACAUAUGGCGUUGCAAUGAACUCGUAUUUGUGCCCGGCACAGCUCGCAAUUAUGUGACACCAGUUCCGUACUCGGCCCAACCCCGGUCGCACCUGGGGAACAUCAGCAGAUGUCCCGUCGGAUUUCGCCUUUUUGCGUGGCGGUUGACUAUCCUUGCCUGCUCCGGAACCACCUUUACCCGGCUUUCCGCCCUUGUUGCGCUCGUCCGCGUCGUCGUCGUCGACAUCCUUACCUUUUUGCCGCGGCGCCCGUCCGCUCGAGCCUUGGUCCUUAGUUCCCUUCCCAGAACCUUGUUUGCCUUUGGUCGGUCGGUCUGAGGACCGUCGGGCAGCUGUUUCCUCGUUGUCGGUGUCCGUAUCUCCGGCAUCACUCCCCCCAUCGGCCAUGGCAACUGCGCCGGAUGCCGACUGCUGCGCAUAAGCAAGGGCCUGCUGCAGGUUUACGCCAUCCGGCAAAACUGCUCCCUGUGCCAACAAGUGCUGCUGAAGCGCGCGGAGAACGUCUGGAGUGAGCUCCUGUGGAGUACUCAUGGUCUCCUAACGUCCUAUGGCUAAACUCGACAAAGAUCGGGAGGUAGCAAGGCGCUACGAUUUAAGACAGAACUUGGGACAGUUAACCGUAAGGAGAACGCAAAAGCCUUGCCAAAAGAGGUCAACGCAAAAAGCCCCUUCACAGGGCGCAUUUGGGGUGCCCAUGGGGCAACAUGUUAGAGUCUUUGCCUAGUGGAGUAUUGUACAUGUGAGAAAGCUUGCUAUUGGAAUGACCCGCUCCAUCAGCUCCGAUUCCUGGCUCCGAUAACCUGGCACUCGACAGCAGCCAUUCCCCCAGACGUGUAUCAAAGAUUGGUAGCUCUGAACUCUAUAAGAAAAGUUCUAUUUGUGGAGGUACUUAAGAAGACUUAUGGUGUAACCUCAUCCGAAGGGCCCUAGUAACGAUGGCAACGCACGGCGCGUUGUACUUUCAAUGCAAGCCUGAACAGAAGCUUACCGUGCGCGCUAAAAUUCAGAGGUACACCAGCUAGCACUCAGGUCCCGUGGUUUCGGCCUCUGAUAAAAGGUUCUGGCGACGUAGAACCCCUUGUUGCGUCCGUAUGCGGAACCAAGAACAAUGUAUUUUAUUACUAACCUUGAUUGGUUUACGAAGUAGACAUUAACCUUGCCUUCUCAUAGCAAAUUUUUGAAUUCCCCCAUCCCUUCCCGCCCUCCCUCCCCAGCCGCGCGUCUAUGAGCCCGCUGUCUUCCGGCACUUGGGCUGUUAGCAGCCGGCCCCACACGCAUCAGCUGUCCCGCCACCACGUGCCUUCAGGCCGUGCUCCUCUCCCCGUCACCUGCGCGAGCCGGCCAUCGUCCUCCCCCACUGCUGGCACUUCCACAACCCCGGCCUCCGCACGCUUCCUACGAACCCCCGCGGGCCCAUCCACCCUCCAUCCCACCACACGGACCCAGAUAACUACCGCCGAAGCCGCCACCACCUUUAUCAAUCGACGCGCCUGCUUUUGCUGUACGGCGUACGGCAGAGGUACGGCCGCUAGUGUAUGGUCUGGAUUUCGCUCUUGCGCCGCAACGAGUGUGUUUGUUUCUUUGCUUAUUAGCGCCUCCUGCCCCUGCUUCUUAUCCUCUAGUUUUUCCUUCACCAAAUUUAUUAUCACUCAUCCAUCCCCCCAUUCACCCUUGGAAAACCACGUUCCACGUGGCGACACAGGUGGCAGCGGUGGCGGUGGUGGCGGUGGCGGAUCUGAGCUGAACUACUACGAGUUGUUGGGUGUAGAGCCGGAUUGCGACGAGGAGGACAUCAGGGUGAGAGGCCGUACGGAACAAGAUUUAAAUAACAAAUUUUAGAUCUGGAUGUUUCGGAUUUGGAUCCGCCUUCCUCUCUGGCCCCUCCAUUCCCCUCCUCUCCUCCUUCCCCAGUUUCGCACACACACACACACACACACAUACACACACACAUAUAUAUAUAUAUAUUAUACAUAUUGUCGUCGUUACUGCCUCUCCCUCAGCGCCCUAGAGACCCUAAAACCACCUUAGGGGUGUAGAAGCUCUAAACCCUAAGUUAACUCGCAGACCUCCCCGCUGGGGGCCGCAGCUGCACCAACACCCCACAUAACUCAAACCCACCUCAUGACACGCACCUGACACGCUGUAAACACACACACACACGCACACCGACAUACAUACAUACACACAUACAUACAUACACACACAGGCAGGCGGCUGGCAGAGGUUCAGGCCUGACUUCUGCUCCCGGCCGACCCGGGUUCAAAUCCGCCUGCCGGCUCCUCGGGUGUUUGAGGAUUGUUGAAAUGGGAGGUGGCCCCCCAUCAUAUGGACGGUGUAGGACGUGAUAAAAUCAACUUGCGAGCUGACCAGGAACUAAGUUGAUGCGCCGUUGAUCCGCUAGACUUGGUUGGAUGCUGGUGGUGAGUUGCCGAACCCAACGAAUACAUUCUGAAGUCGGAUGGGGUGACGGAUUAGGGCGCCCCUCUAGCAGGGGAGAGCAGGGACUGCCCCGGGAAAGGGGGCCGCUGGCGAAGUUAACCACCCUGUAACAACAUACAUACACACACACAAGGCGCAACCCCGUGUCGUCCCCCUCCCCCCUCCACCACCUCGUACCUCGCACGCACCUACGGCACAGGCGGCUUUCCGGCGGAAGGCCAAAGAGGUUCAUCCGGACGUCAACAAGGAGGUGUGUGUGUGUGUGUCUGUGUGUGUUUUUGGGGGCCGGGAGGGGGGAGUGGAGGGGGGGAGGGGGUUUCCCCGGGUUUAGCGGGAGAUGUGAAAUGUCAGGGGCCUCUCCCUCACCCCCAACCUCUUUCCCAACUUGUUUUCAAAGGAGCCGUACACAUCGUGUGAAUGUGGGUAACAGAGGCUGUGCUUUAGGAACGCAUGCACGCACAUAAAACGCAAGCACACGCGGACAUGUCUUCCCGUCUUUGCCGCCCACCCAUCCUUUCCUUCCGCAUCGCCACUCCCCAAAAACUUAACUAACUACCACAACUACCACAACGAACCAAACCGUCGGACACGUGGGGGACGACACGCGCGGAGAGAGCAGGAGGGAGCGACUGAAGCGUUCGUGCAGCUUAGCCGCGCGUACGAAGUCCUAUCGGACGCUGAGUCACGCCGUGAGUACGACAUCACGUACAGUACCCGUCGCCUCAACUUUUUCCGAGAUAUCAUCGAGGUGCGGUAUCGGCGGCGGCGGCGGGGGGGAGUGAAGGACCCUGAAGGACCCACUGCCCGGUGCUUUGCGCCGUACUGUGUACCGUACUUGUCGUAUCCACCUCCCCCCCUCCCGCAUGUUGAUGUUUCAGUAACUCCCCCUCGGCUCGCUUGGGACUCUCGACAACAGUUUGUGGCUUUGGCCGUCAGUAGACGGUUGGUUCCCACCACUUGACUUGGCUGGAUUUCUGCUGUCCCCGCCCCGCCCCUCCACUCUUCCCACCACCUCAAAGCCCAACACUAACUACCCCCACCCUCCACCCCGCAACAGUCGGUGUUUUGGACGUGAACUUUUUGUCUUUGCAAAGCUUAUAACUUAUAACAAAGUUUUUAAUCAGUCAAUUUUGAUGCCGAUUUAAAAACCAGCGGUCAAACUGAAUACCAAUAUCUAAUUCUAAAAGCCAAAAAAACAUAAAGUAAGAGUGAGAUACUUGGCUUAACCCUAUAGACCAUAUUUUCCAUUCAUAACUGACUGGCUUUAAAUUGAAUCUUACCUCUCAAACAAGCUCUUGAUAAACCCCCUACCCCUUCGUUGGGGGGGUCGUCACUGGUCAGUAAAUAUUCCCGAGGUAGCAGUCGUCUUCUUCCCCUGGACUAUCCGUCUAUCUCUUGUGUAUCUGCUUCAAUCGCGUGUGGUUCGUCUUUCCCCCUCACCUCACCUCACCUCCCCCUCACCUCACCUCACCUCACCUCACCUCACCUCACCUCCCCCUCACCUCACCUCACCUCCCCCUCACCUCCCGCGCAUCAGGAGGAUGAGGGGGGCAACGCCGCCUCCCGCCGCAGCCCCUUCCGCUGGUCCCAAGUGGGCUCCGAAACCCCCGCCGGCAGCCGGAGGGGGAGGGGAAGGGACAGCGGCCUGGGGGGUCGCGACGAUGUUGAUGACGAGGAGGAGGAGGAAGAGGAGGGCGAUGAUGAUGAGGGUUGGCAGCAGCAGCGUCGCGACCAGGAGCGGGUGCUGGAGGAGUUGGCCCGGUUUAUGUGAGGAUGGGUGGGUGUGGCGGGUGGGUGGGUGUGGUUAUAGGUAGGGGUCGGGAGAGGAAGCGGAGGAGGGGGAAGGAGGGGAGGAACAAGGCCAGUAGAGAUCUGCAUGCCGGUACCCCCUUCCUCUUGCGUUUCCUUCCCGGGGUGCGUGUGUGUGCGUGUGUAUGUGUAUGUGUGUGUGUAUGUGGUGCUGUUGGUGCGACUCCUCCCUGGGCUACGUGCGUGAGAGGAGAAUAAUAGAUAUGCAGAUGGACAGACAGACAGACAGACGGACAGACAGAUAGAAGUGCGGAUGGAUGGAUGGAUGGAUGGAUGGAUGGAUGGACAUGCGGACCGACCGACGGGUCGGUAGACAGGCACCGCAGGUAGGCAGGUAGGCAGGUUAAGACAGAAGGUCAGGAGCUCUAGACGAAGUCAGGCGGAGAGGGAGAGUCGGGUAGAUAGGAUAGAGAGACACCAAGCUGGUGUUUGGUGCACAUGUUCUGUGCUUCCCACAUCAUCACCCCGUUCCUCACCCCCUCACACUUGGGUCGUGUUUCCCUACUCACCCCAUCCCAUAUAGUGGUAGUAACAGCAAUAAAAAUAUAAUACAAUAGCAGUAAUGUAUAUCCCUCUUUCCAGCCCCUGCAGUUGGCAACUUGGGAUGUCGACAGUUGUCUUCCCUUCUUGACUUUGCUGCUCCUAAAUUUCCGCCUCCUCUUGAAUCUCUCCCGCUUCCCCCUUCCCCCCGUGUUGUGUAUGAUGUGUUUCACCUCCCCCACCCCCCACCCCACACGCAGGAGCGGUCCCGGCUCACUCCGGGCCUGGCAGAGCGGCCGACUGGACCCCUGGGGCUCGUCAUCCAGUGAUGCCUGGUUCCGUCAGGUGGGGGGAAUGGGGAAAGGGGGGGAGGGGGAGGGAUGCGUUUGUUGGUUUGGUGCUGUAGGGGGAUGUUAGACGUGACUUGUGUGUGUAUGUGUGUGUGUGUGUGUGCGCUAAUGUUGUAUACACCACAUGGCCCGGCAUGCGAGUACAUGUGUGUGUAUGUGUGUAAUCGUGUGCGUGUAUGUGCACGUAUUAUAAUAUUAAUUGUUUCUCUCACUCUGGCGAUAUCCCAUUUCAAUUCAUCACCUCUUUGUGUUGCUGAUGUUGUACAGGUGGAACGGCAGACACGUAAUCCGUACGGCCCAUCUCGGCAAGGGUACGGCAGUUCCCAAGACGAUGAUGAUGGUAGUGGUUUCGGAGCUGGAGGCAGCGAGUGGGACCCCAGCCGGCGUGUACCGGGAUGGAGUCCUCCAGGUGCGUGCUUGAAUGCCGGUGGUUGGUUGGUUGGGUUCCGUUGGCUUGUUUGUUGGGUCCGUUAGUUAGGUUGGCUCCAUUCAUCUGUCUGAUUUCCCCCCAGACUGAUUGCCCCCUGUUUCUUCAAUUGACUUAUUCCGUAGUUCCUUGUAGCGGUGUGUCGGAGCCGUAGCGGUUCAGACAGACAGGCAGAAAGACAGACAGACAGACAGACAGACAGACAGACAGACAGACAGACAGACAGACAGACAAAGAGUAGCAAACAACCCAGACCUGACCGUGAUGUGCUGGGCCUGUACCUGGUGUCCCGCAAUAGAGAAGUUGCGGCGGUUCGACUCCCCUCCCGGUGGUUUAUCUGGAGGAGAGGAGUGGACCAGGCGGUACCAGGCGAACCAAAAUCAAAAUUAAAAAUCAGCAGCAGGAUAGAAGGAGACCGGGGGCGGGGGGGGGCCCCGCCAGUGCUACCCCAGAAUGGAGUGGCUCACCCCUGCCACCCCCUUCCACAUGUGCGAGUGCGGGGGGCAAGAGAGGAGGAAGCCAUCCUUACGUCCAGUUUUCCCGUCGUAUCCAAAUCUUAAGAUUUAUUGAAUGCUUUCGUCGUGGCCCCACGAAUUCGGUCUGGAUUUUGGUCCUGGUCUGUUCCUGAUGCUGGGUGUCGUACUCUUGUUGUUUUCUUAUUUCGUUGGUUGGUUGGUUUCGGAGUGCAGGUCGCGGCAGUGAGUGGAGCCACCCCAGGCGGCAAUGGGACGAUGAGGAGCAACGAGGAGGCGGAGGAGGAGGAGGAGGAGGGCCCGGCAGGCGGGGAGGCGGUGGGGGAGGCGACUUCCGACGGCCCUUCAAAAUCUGAAGAAAAAGCAAACACCCUUUGCAUGUGCUGUAUGCGCACAUGUCCGUAUGUAUGCAUGUAUGUUGUAUGUUCCUGUCUGAACUGGUUGAGUGAUCGAGUGAUGUUAUCUGAUGCAUACGAGGAUUGCUUUCAUGAACUGGUGUGGGAAUUCCCUUCGAAGGACUUGCAAGUGCAUGUGCAUGUGCACUGGAAUCCCCACGGCAUCCCUACAUGCCAUCCGACCAGUCACCGAUCGGUAAUUAAUUACUUGGAACACGGAAGUCCGUUCGGAUUUGGCCUUGGCGACCCUGACUGACUGAAUCAAUAAUUAAUAGAGAUUUCAACCUGCGAUUUUCAAAGUUGGCCAGGGCAAAUCGCCCGGGUUCAACAACCUCGCCGCCCUCGUCCUUCUGGCCAUUAAAUUGCUUAUCUAAUAACGAUAUCAAAGAUUUAAUGAACCUAGAGAACUUCCCACAGAUAUCCUUGACUACCGCCGUCGGGUUUCACAUCGGCUACGCUUUCUUACAGAACAACAAUGUACGAGGUAUAGUUAUGCAUUUAAAUUUUGCAAAGGUUACAACUCAGGCAUGGCAGAGGUACAUCACAGUGUACUGCAACAUGGAAGACAUUUCUUUCUACCCAUCUUCGUUCAGGGACUUCAAUAACAACUCCAUUGCUCAAGUUUGGGACUCAGUUUUGCUUCAAUUGGGGAGAGUUCCUGCGGGUUGUUACACGGGGAGCAUUUCAAGGCUCCCCGAGAAGGGGUGGCGUCCCCCAGAGACGUCUCCCCAAAUCGCACCUCGCCCGGAGGCAGCCAUAGCUCGGCCUGGACAAAACUCAGUUUGCUGUAAUGGAAUGUAAUGGAAAGUAAGAGUUGUAAGAAAUAUGGGGAGAAGACUGCACGGAAUUAUGCAGUCACGCACUGCAGUCAGCAGCAAGGAAAAGCUGCCGAGGCCCGUGCGGCCUUCUCCACACGGCAUGACGGCUUCAUGCUCUGUCAGCAUUGCAAUACAGAGCACGCCUUGAGAAAGGUAGAGUUGUAAGAAAUAUGGGGGUCAUUUCCUUGCUCUUGGAGAUUGCGGUAAACUAAUUUGCCAUGGACCCGAAAACCUGCAGCUUUUAAUGCAUUAUGUCGUCUUUGACUUAAUUGCGUGCUUGCUGAAGGAUGUUUUGUCAGUGAAUCUAGCGUUUAGGGCGUCGCACACGAGCCGGUCUGGCUCCUCGGUAACAACUACACUACAAUCUCAAUGAAAUCUAGGUCAUAAAAGGCGCGUGGUUGUGCACGUAUGCAGCGCAGGAUUUUUUGACCGAUGUUACAACCCCCCCGCAGCCGUUUGCCGACCUCUGACAGGAACUACCUCAAAGGUCCGAUGAACUACAAUUCAGUUAAUGUCGUUAGGCCGUUGGUCCCGACACAGGCAAUCCCUGCCAGGGCAUUCCAGGCCAUGGACCACGCAGAGUCAGAGACUAGUAAAGAAUAUGUUAAGAUUGUUCUACGUGGCUGUUUCCCAUCUGUAUGCAACAUUAUCCUGUCGCUUUCUGGCCGUGGCGUACUUCGUUCGUCAUCCGGGGUCAUCCCCGCGUUGGAAGGUACAGGCGUAAAUUCCCAACAACCAUUGCAUAAUCAUGUCAUAAUCUUAUAUGCAAUAUUAUUUCUGUUAACGGACGCCCAACGGUAUAAUCACCAUCGUAUACAUACACCAAAAGAACGCCUAACCCAAACUACUGUAUUUGUCCCCAAGAUCUUUAUUUAUACGUCUACAUCUAACGCUUGUUACAUAUAUAGUUUCAGCUGCGCCUUAGGGAGGAGUGCUCCAAUCGCCUGACUCGCGACAAUGUGGUCCGCGACGAGACACCUUGGCACCGGGGCAACGCCAAGGUUAAACCCAGGUACAUCAGACUAUAAUGUAAUUAUGUUCUCGAAAUCUUACAUCUUGAUGAAAGGAAUGUCCGUCGCUUGCAGGCACGACUUCAAUUGUACCAGCGCCCAUGCGCACGACGCGGCGCCAGCUGCUACGCAUCGAGGCGCGUUCUCCUCCGAUUCAGGGAGAAGAAAAAUCUUCAUCGGCUACCCUGGAACGGCCGGUACAAAAGGCGGUAAGUUACCCUCGCGCCAGCCAACGCUAAUGCUUCCGACUGCGGUGCGCCGAGUAAGCGCGGACCUCGACACGGGGGACGCUGGAAUCCAGAUGAAUCCAUAGGUACUAGCCUUUGAAGUUGGACCUGGGUUUUGUCUCCCCUUGCUCCUGAUCGGCCGAGCUGUUGAUGUUGCUUCGUAAGACAUGGCAACAGGGGCUUCUACGUGAACCUUAACGAUAACUUCCAAGUUUUCCAAAAUUUUACAUGUUUUAUAUCGAUUAUAGUUUCCAUUUUUCUUUGUAUGAACUGGACACGGAUUGGAAGUUUCGUACUCGGCGCGAAUAGUUCGCACCAGCAGCCAGAACGUCCCAGCACCAGCCCGGGGUUGUUCAUGCCCCGGCGGUCCGUUCACCUGCGAGCUCUGCGAGGGCACACAAUGUUGCGCGGCCGCGCAGUGGCCCUUCAAGUGGUCCCCAUCUUUGACGCCCUUUGCAAAAUCCUACCUACUGUUACCCAGCCUCAAUAAUCAUCUGGAUCAACCCGCCCAUGCGCUCUCUUUACACUCAGCAAAGCAAGCAAUCCCCUAAAAAUCGCACAAGCUCGAAGCCCACUCCAUUCCUUACCCGCCCUAUCCAUACAAACUCGCACAUCUAUUCCCCCCAUAGGUCGCGCAACGGCCACCGACGUCCCCCCCACCGCCGCUACCACCACCACCACCACCCGAGAUCUAUCCGGCCGCCGCCCCCACACCCGUCGUCACCGCCGCCACCACCACCACCACCACCACCACCACCACCACCACCACCACCACCGCCGCCACCACCACCACGGCCACUCCGUCCCCGCUGUUCCCUCAGCCCGGUGAGCCCCGGUGGCCCCCGCGAAGGCCCUUCGCCUCAGUGGNNNNNNNNNNNNNNNNNNNNNNNNNNNNNNNNNNNNNNNNNNNNNNNNNNNNNNNNNNNNNNNNNNNNNNNNNNNNNNNNNNNNNNNNNNNNNNNNNNNNNNNNNNNNNNNNNNNNNNNNNNNNNNNNNNNNNNNNNNNNNNNNNNNNNNNNNNNNNNNNNNNNNNNNNNNNNNNNNNNNNNNNNNNNNNNNNNNNNNNNNNNNNNNNNNNNNNNNNNNNNNNNNNNNNNNNNNNNNNNNNNNNNNNNNNNNNNNNNNNNNNNNNNNNNNNNNNNNNNNNNNNNNNNNNNNNNNNNNNNNNNNNNNNNNNNNNNNNNNNNNNNNNNNNNNNNNNNNNNNNNNNNNNNNNNNNNNNNNNNNNNNNNNNNNNNNNNNNNNNNNNNNNNNNNNNNNNNNNNNNNNNNNNNNNNNNNNNNNNNNNNNNNNNNNNNNNNNNNNNNNNNNNNNNNNNNNNNNNNNNNNNNNNNNNNNNNNNNNNNNNNNNNNNNNNNNNNNNNNNNNNNNNNNNNNNNNNNNNNNNNNNNNNNNNNNNNNNNNNNNNNNNNNNNNCUCAGAGGAUCCCCUUCCCACUUUCAACUCAGGGUGUUGUGCGUGUGUGUCUGUGUCUGUGUGUCUGUAUGUGUGUAUUCAGGUGGCAACGGGCGUAUGCGUCUCCGCUCAUCCACCAAGCCCGUGGUGCUGGUGCUGGGGAGCGGCUGGGGAGCGCACUCGCUCAUUAAGGUGGGGAGGGCGGGAGAAGAUGUCGUACCGCCUGGCGCGUACGUGUUGUACGGCAUGUGCCCCAUCGGCCCCUUCAGCUUUUCCCUCAACCCGCAUUUCCUUUCCCUUGCUGCUGCCGGGGCCCCUCGUGCAGGUCAUCGACACGGACAUGUACGACGUCGUUGUCGUAUCUCCCCGCAACCACUUUGUGUUCACCCCCAUGCUCCCCUCCACCGCGGUGGGAACUGUGGAGUUCCGCUCCCUGCUGGAGCCCAUCCGUACUUCCAACCCGUGUGUCACGUACCUGGAGGCGCAGUGCGAAACAUUGGACCCGGAGGGUGAGGGGGGGGGGGGAGAGGGGUUUUAGGGUUUUGGCGGGGGGAGGGGGGAGCCCCCAUGUGAGGGGCAGGGUGAGGGUCCCUGCCCAGGAUAACCCCCGCCCCUCUGGCCCCUUACCUUCCUCGCCUCGCAGCCAAGGUGGCUGUCUGCACUUCGUCUUUCGCGUACGACGACGGCAGGCGACCUCAGUUUGAGGUGGGUAGGAGUGUGAGGGCGGGAGGGAGGGAUGGAAGGAGGAGAGUGAAAGAGUGGGGGAGUCCGGAGCCGGGUUUUGUUGGGGUUGGUCGGUUGUGUGGAUGGCCGCUGCUACCUGUCCUCAGGUUGCUCGUCCAAUCCACUCACCUCCUGCAGCUGUCCAAACCAUGGCAAAUGCAGAUCCAGUACGACAAGGCGGUUGUGGCGGUUGGCGAGCAACCUGCCACCUUCGGAGUUCCGGGAGUGAAGGAGCACUGCUUCUUCAUGAAAGGUGAAAAGGGAGGGGGGGGGAGGGCCGUUUGUCGUCUUGCGACUGACGCAGCCUAUGUGUAUGCGUGCGCGGGUGUGUGGGGGGGGGCUUUGUGGGAGGGAAGAGAGUGUAUCCAGAACCUCUCAAUUCGUAAUUCGUAAUAUUUAUGAAGGUCGCCCCCCCCUUAUGAAGGCCCCUCCCGCAAGUCUCCACGCAACCCCCCCACACACACUCCGCCAUACCUCACAUUCGAACACGGCACUGUUACCACACGCACACACACACACACACACACGCACACACACACACACACACACGCACACACACACGCACACACACACACACACACGCACACGCACACUCGAGUCCUUUACCUCGCCGCACCCCUUCCCCCCGCUCCUCGACCGGGCUCGGGAACCCCCUCCGGGAGAGGGGGGUAGAGGUCACGGAUGCGGUGGCCCUCAGGAAAAAAAUCGCGGAGAAGUUUGAGCUGGCUUGUCUACCGGGCACAUCUGAGCAGCAGAGGUGUGUAUGCGUGUGUAUGCGUGUGUAUGUGUGUGUAUGCGUGUGUAUGCGUGUGUAUGCGUGUGUAUGCGUGUGUAUGUGUGUGUAUGUGUGUGUAUGUAUGUGUGUGUAUGUAUGUGUGCAUGCAUGUGUGCAUGCAUGUGUGCAUGCAUGUGUGUAUGUAUGUGUGCAUGCAUGUGUGUAUGUAUGCGUGUAUGUAUGUGUGUAUGUGUGUGUAUGUGUGUGUAUGCGUGUGUAUGCGUGUGUAUGCGUGUGCAUGCAUGUGUGUAUGUAUGUGUGUAUGUAUGUGUGCAUGCAUGUGUAUGUGUGUAUGUGUGUAUGUGUGUGUGCAUGCAUGUGUAUGUGUGUAUGUGUGUGUGCAUGCAUGUGUAUGUGUGUAUGUGUGUGUGCAUGCAUGUGUGUGUGUAUGUGUGUGUGCAUGCAUGUGUGUGUGUAUGUGUGCAUGCAUAUGUGUGCAUGCAUAUGUAUGUAUUUCUGUCUGUAAGGCGGAAAAAUGGCGGGGCCAGUGGACAGUUAGCCGUUGGCCGUUGUUUGCAAGCUGUGCAAAUGAACAGAGACACACGUUGGAGCUCUCCUUGCGGCUGAUGGGUGAAUCGCUUAGCCCCCGACCCUCACCCCCCUCGCCCCCCUCAGUGAGCUUCUCGCACCCCUCAGAAGCAUUUCUCUAACUCCCUUAGGCCUUGAACAUUGACAAGUUACAAGUUACAAGUUACAAGUUACAAGUUGCAAGUUGCAAGUCACAAGUUGCAAGUGCGAGGGGCAUCCGUUAAAGCAGGGUGGCCCAUGAACUCGUACGCGAAACCCGCCUCCUCCCCCGCCUCCUCCCCCGCCUCCUCCCCCUCCUCCCCCGCCUCCCCCUUCCGCCUCCAGACGCGCCGCUCUGAACUUCGUGGUGGUUGGCGGCGGUCCCACCGGUGUCGAGUUCGCCGGUACUCUGAGCGACUUUCUGAGGGAGGACCUCAGGAAGAAGUACCCGGCACUAAUGCCGUACGUACGGGUGACGUUACUGCAGGUGAGAGGAUGAGAGGGUGGGGGGAAGGGAAAAGGGAAGCGGGAUGGACCGAGGUAGGGGGUGCAGUGUGGAAGAAGUGGCGUGGCGGAGGGAGUAUGGGUAUAGAAAAACACGCCCACCCUCACCCCCCCACACACACACAUACACAUGCCAAGCACCCCUAAACCCCCCUCCCGCAACCCCCUCCCGCAUCCUCCUUCAACCUUCACCCUCCGGCUUCAGAGUGUGUCGUCCAAACCUGAACCCCCAGCCUCCUACCCUCCCCUUACCGCCCCCCCCCCCCCACACACAAGCAGAGUGUGUCGUCCAUCCUGACCCAGUUCGAUGAGCGACUGCAACGCAACGCCCUCAGCAACCUGACGUCCUCGGGGGUGGAGGUGCGGACCAAUGUGCGGGUGGUGGGCGUCAACAAGGAUAAGGUAACGCUGUGUGUGUAUGUGUGUGUGUAGGGUUUAAAGUUUGGAUAGCUUUGGAGAGUAAACAUUUUCUUGAAGGCUUUCAUUAAGAUUUUAGGUUUCGAGGUUUUCGGGUUUUAAGGUUUUACUAUCUUAAGGGUUCCUUAAAACCCUAAAAGUUAAGGACUGGGAGGAGAUUUCUCUUUUUCAGAGGAUGGGAGGAGGAAAUAUGCGCGAAAAUUUCUUUCACAUCUCGCUGCUCUUUAAUAUAUCGACGCGAACCCUACCGCCCUAAAUGUUCAGGUGCUGCUCAAAGGGGGGGAAGAGCUGGACUACGGAGUGUGCGUGUGGUCCGCCGGCAAUGCGCCCCGGCCCUUGGUGACCCAGAUCGCCUCAGAGGUGCCUCAACAGGCAAUGGCGGCCGAGGUGGGGUGGGGGGGGCGGGGGGGAGGGUAGCUUGCGAUUUCAGAUCAGCAAAGGUCCUAAUUGUGGGGUAGGACGCAUCUUCCUGCCUCGAGCCUCCUUGAUCAUGUUCCAACAAUCCUGCAUUGCCUGGGGACUCGCGCCCUCCGGGUCCAUCAGCCCCAAGUGUUGACAACAUCACUUCCGGUGUCUCACCUGCCCCUUGCAUGCCCCUCCUCGGCUCCACGUCCCCCAUGAGCCCCUCCCUCCCCCCCACCUACCCUCCGGCCCCUAGGCCUCCCGCCUCUCCCCUGGCUCCAAGCUGUGUGUGGACUCGUUCCUGCGUGUGGUGGGGGCCAGCGACCUGCUCGCACUGGGGGACUGCUCGCUGGUGCUGGGGAACAGACUGCCGGCAACGGCGCAGGUGGGGGGAAGAGGAGGUGGGGGGAGAGGAGGGGGGGAGAGGAGGGGGGGAAGGGGGGGGAGAGGAGGGGUGGGGAGGGGGGGAGAGGAGGGGGCCCUGUGCUGUGUUGACCAUGGAGGGGAGGGUCGAGGGGGUUGCAGUGAGGGGAGUUGACCAAAAGAGAUUACAGACCCUUUGUAUGUAUGUAUGUAUCUAUGCAUGUAUUUAAGUAUGUAUUCUGUAUGUAUGUUUGUUUGUUGCCGUAAAUGAAUGUUCUCUAAAGUUAUGGCCAACUAAUGGCAUGACCUCUGACCUCGUAAACCAUCGUACGACUUCUUUACUGUGUCGCCGUGCCGUACUUCCUCUUGCUGCUGCUAGGUUGCCGGCCAGCAGGGCGCCUACCUGGCCCACCUGCUGAACAGCGGGUACAACCUGGGGGUGGGGGGCUACACACAGCCGCCACCGUUCCAAGUUGUGCCCAGAUGCACGCUACAGGUACGACGAACCAAGGCGCAACGUAUGUGUCUGUAUGUGCCGUAAACACGUGCUGUACAUAUGCCUUUCGUACGUGUGUCCCUAAAGGCAAUGAUGAGAACCCUUUGGUUUUCGUAAAGUUUGGUGUCCCCUCAAGGGGCACACAUUUCAACCACGUUAGAGCUGCUCGUUGUCCGGCCCUCGGUUUCCGUUCGGCUUCCUCCUUUGGGUGACCCAAAAGGGUCACCUCCCGUGGAAUAUUAUACCAUAACAAUACAGGCCAAUCCUUAUCUACAUUUAGAUUGUGCGGUUCUAAGCUUAUUAGGCCCAUGCCUUACUCUUGGCGAUCUUCCUAAUCUUUUCCUUAACAUCAUGCACACACCCGCAUGUCAGUCACUCAGCACUCAUAAACUCCCACCCACUGAAAACCCUUUCAGACCUCCAUCCCUCCCGUCCAGCUCACGCCCCAACGGGUCCACGGGUCCAUGUAUUAAUGGGGCCUCACUCUCCCCGGUGGUUUGUGACACUCCCUGAGCUUCCAACUCCCAACUCCCAACUUCCAACCUCCCAACUCCCCGCCUAGACCGCCACCGACCGCAGUCCAUUUCUCCGUUGGUUAGCCGCCUCGAUGGCCGGAGGAAAGGAACGCAUUGAGACGGGCGUGAUGGU